rnacentral:lncRNA from 1 species
CGAAUCCUUGUUCUCCGGCUUGCUCCGCCACCACGAAGUUCUGUGGUACCACCAGCAAUUGUCCCCUCCUAAGCUCACCGUCGAACACUGCAUUCCCUUGGCAGUUCACAACUCUAACCUUUCCUUGUCCUCGAGUCACAUAGAUCACACUGUUUGCAUUCAGAUUCCAAUGUGGAGAGUAAAUUCCAUUCUGCAUGGAUAUAAUAACAUGUGUUACGUAUCAUCAUCAUUAUUAUUAUAUAUUAUAUAUUUACACCAAUAUUUUUAUUAUUUUUUUAUUAAAAGUAGUAGAACCAACAAGUAACUAUAAUUAUUAUCAAAUAAGUCUUCAUUGACAUGUUAAAGUAACUCAUAAAAAUCAAUGCACAAUUAUAAUACAUUACAGUUCAACUACCCCUAGAGAAUCACUAAAGAAUUACCCAUAUCAAAUGAUAUUUUAAUGACAUUUAAAGGAAUCCAACCCUACAACAUACUUACUGACAUUUUUAUAUGUCUUCUAAAUUAUUAUAUCAUAUGAUUUAUGACAUAAAGAUUUUUCCCUUUUGUGCUUUCUUUUUAUUUCUUAAUUUUCUCAAGAUAGACUAAUUGACAAUUGAAUAUCCACGGAAAAAUUACUGGUAGAUGUGUAAGUAUGUACGUAUAUUAGUUUCAUGUUGAUUACUUAGUAAUAUGAAUGAGGUGAAUUACAUACCUUGUAGAGGACAACAUAUUGGGCACUGAGUUGGAAUUGGCGGAGGGCUGGGAGGGUGAGGCUGUUGAGGGUACUAAUGCGACCAGCUUUAGGGUUGUAGAAGUCAGCGCGUGAAGGGCGAGCAAUGUUCUCGUGAAGCUUCAAGGUGCAGAUAUUUUCCUCAACCCCGUUUCUUGUCUCGCAUCCUCUUUCACGUGGUUCUUCUUGUCUAGGUCUUCUGGGUUGUGUCUUUUUCGAUCUCCAUUCGCGGCUCUUGCGAGGUUGAUCUUCAUCUUCAUCUUCGUCCUCGUCCUGGUCCUGGUCUUGUUCACGCUUUCCUUGGCUUGGUCGACUAGGACGAGGUUUAUCUUCAUCUUCGUCCUCGUCCUCGUCUUGUUCACGCUUUCCAUGGCUUGGUCGGCGAGGAGGGUGAGAGGGAAUUUGUUCAUCUUCAUCAUCUUCGUCUUCAUCUUCAUCUUCAUCUUGUUGUUCUUGCCACUUGGGGCUGAUAACGCUGAGACCUCCUUCCACUGUCACGAUCUGCUUCCUUUCGUCGUCUGGAGACUGAAGUUUCUCAGCUAUGUCCUCGUUGGUGUUGAAGGAUUGUGCCAAGAAGUGUUUGCUGAAGCCACUGAGCACGCUGCCACCUUCUUCCUCUUCCUCCUGCUGGUGUUGCCCCUGCUUGCGUCCACCAUGACUUUUCUGCUGUUGUUGUUGUUGCAUGGUCUCUGGGUACUCUAUAUCUGGGUUCCCAGCAAGGUAAAAUACCUGAAAGUGAAAAAAUUAACAAGUGAGGAGAACAUGGUUUUUGUUAAUAGUAAAUGAAAUUGAAUUGAUAAUUACCCUAGGGGUUUGAUCAAGCUGGUUAUUGAAGUUAGAGGUGUCAAGAAGACUGAUGGCAACAACUGGUUCAUCGCCAGUGUUAUAGGUCCAGUAAGGAACACCAGGAGGAAUCACGAGUACGUCUCCUUCAUUGAAGUGACGAAUCUUCUGGUGACUGUCCUGUAGCUGCUGCUUCUGCGACCUUGAGCCUCUUCUGUUUGAUUGUUCUUGUGGCUCCUCAAACGUCUCAGGACAUCCUGGAAUUGCAACUCCAAGUGCUCCUUUCCCUGUACAUCAAUCAUCACCAAACAAAACAAUCACAUUUUUAUUUAAUCAGAUAUCUUAGUUGAUAUAUAUAACUUAAUAAAACUUUUAAGGUGAUUGAUAUGUCAACAAAGUCAUUCUAUAUAUAAUAAUAAUAAUUUGUAGUUAAAUAAUCAUGUAAAAUUUACUAUAGAGAUACUAUUUACUUAAAUCAUUAUUAUCUUUAGUAAAUGAUCUAUGGUAAUGUGAUGUUGAAAUUUGAACAAGUGGUGACAAAUGGAUUAAUAUACACUGAGAAAUGCUGGUGAUACUCUUUCUGAUAUGUGUGUUAGAAGCACUCCUUAUAUAUGAUUACCUUGGGCGAUGAUGAUCAUCCGGGGAUAAGGUGAGUAAGAUGGCAAGUGGAGGCCAUUGCGGUUGAGGGUGAGUUUGGAAACAGUGACACCGGCGCAUUUCAGCUCAGGGUGUUGAGAGUUCCAUGUUUGAAUCAAACCACCUUCGGACUCAACGCGGUGGUCGGGUUCCAACGCGUUGAGGUUGUUGAGUUGGCACUCGUUGAGCUUGCUGGAGCUAAUAGCAAAGCAUGCACUCGACAAGAGUAGCAAGCAAAGGGAAGAAAGAGAGAGAGUGAAGGGCUUCCCCAUAUUGAACUAAGGAAGUGUUAAUAAUUAAGUUUGAAGGAGUUGGUGAAUUGGAAAGAACAUGAGGAGUGGUGAUUUAUAGGUAUGAGAGGAGAGUGACUGAGGGACACGUCAAUGAAUAAGGGUUGCUGAGUUUGUGACAUUCUUCACCUUGCAUGGCUAUUGUUUCCAAUUUUGUUACACCUCAUACAUAAGCAUGCAUGCUUCGUUUAUAUUUGCAAUGGUACAAUGAACAACACCAAAAUUGGAGGCACUCUGAAUGGUCCCCUCCUACAGAUUCUCCGCGUCUCAAAGUCUAUCCUCUUAUACAAUAUGAGAAUAUCAGAUCAAUAUUGUUCUAUUCAGUUCAUCAUGUAUAUUUUUAUACAAUUUCGUUUAUAAAUGAGAUAAGCUGAUUAAAAAUGUGAAAUAAAAUAAAUAAUAUUACAGUAAAAGAUAAAAGAAAAAGGUUAUAGAAACUGUUAAAUAUUUUUCUUAUAACCAUUAGUAUAUAUCAUCGAUCUUUCAUAUGAUGCGUUAAUUAUUAAAAAACAAAUCCACAAUAUAUAAUCUUUGCCUGAAUCCUCCAGCAUAAUUGUCUCUGUAAAGAUAUAUAUUAAAUACUAUGGUGUGUUAAGAAUCCUUCUCAAUUUGAACUGUUUUACUGUGCAUUUUGUCAGUACUAUGAUCUUAUAUUGUAUAGUAACGGCGCCUCCUCUUUUCCCACUCAAGACUCAACGUUUGUAAAUAAUGAUUUUUUCUUCUGCAUUAAGUAUAUUUUCAGUUGAGAGAUGAAUCCUUAUUACAUGAAUAAUUAUAACUAUAUACAAAUUUUCUCUUUUAUUUUUCUCUCUUUUCUUAUCAUAUUAUUUAGUACAUUUUAAUAUUUCUCCCUUUUCUUUUUUAUAUCUCUCUCCCCGAAACAAUUAUCUUUUUAAAAUUCUCUUAAAAAAAUUGAAACAGAUAAACAAUUAUUUCUUUAAAUUGAAGAAACAUUUAGUAAGUUUAAUUUCAUGCAUUACUAGAUAACUAGGAAGAGCACUCAAAAUAUUCAGAGAGGAUGAGAAGGUGAGUACACGUAUAGAGGGUAACAGCUCUUCUGCACGUGUGCAUAUGCAUGGCUAUCAUAUGAUAUAAAUUACGUACACGUGCCUCCCUUAUUUUAUUCGGAUAGUGAAUUUGGGCUACAGUCUAAAAAAUACAGAGGCGUCGAUUUUAUGCGUAUAUAUAUACGAUUGAUCGGUGGAUCUAGCUAUCUGAGUAAUGUUUGGAUUACAGGAUUAUAUAAGUGAGAGACAGAGAAGCAUGAAUAAUUGAUUAAAGACUGGGACCAUGUCUGAACUAUUUUAUUCAAUACAAGAGGAAUAAAUUAAUGUUAACAGUGGAUCACAAAUUUAGUGAUAAUUUUUCAAAAUUAUAUAUAAAUUACUUCGUUACUAAUUUUAUUUUUUCUUAAAAACUCACUUAGAAUUAUUCAUAUAUUGAAUUUUUUAUAUACGAUUAAGUUAAAUACUUUAAAAAUAAUUAUUCUUCAUACUAAUUUUAUUUAACUUAAAUAGGAUUACCUCCUCUUAUGAACGAUAUCAACCCUUGUUAAACUUUAAAAUAAAAAACUUUAACAAUAUUUUAUGCUAUCGAUUAGAUGAUGAGCAUGCAUGUUAUAUAGUUGAUAGACACAAAUUUUACUAGAUUAAAUAUUUUUUAAGUCCUCAACGUAAGUGUCCUUCAUUAAAAAAAUUUACAAACAAAAAAAUCAAACAUAAAUUCUUUUAAUAAAUUAUAUUAUUGUGUGCAUCUAACAAGAUCAACAUUCUAUUCAUAUAGAAUACUUUUUAUUAAUUUCUUUCAUAAAUGAGAUAAAUGGAUAUACAAAAAUAUGUUAAAUAAUAUGACAAUAAAAGAUAAAAAAAAACAAAUAUACAAGUUGUUCUCCAGCUUGUUUUAUAAACAUAGUAUCGUGUUCGUCUCUUUUAUGAAAACAAGUAAUUAUACUACGUACGUUUUUGAGAAUCCUUCACAAUUUGGACUAUUUUAUUGUACAAUAUCUCUCUAUAUGCAAAAGAUCUUAUAAGCAAAGGCGUCUACUUUUUUUUUCCACUCAUCCAGACUACUUGACAUUUGCAAAUGAUGAAUUUUUCUACAUUAAUUAAGGACACAUUUUCAGUUGAGAUAAAUCCUUUUUAGAUAAGUGGUUAUUUUGAUUAUUUUAGAUGAGUGAUUACAAUUAAUUAUAUACCAAUUUUCUCUUUCAUCCUUUAUUUAUUUUACUUUUCUAUCUUAUCAUAUGAUUUAUCACGUUUUAAAUUUUGCAUUUUCUUUGUAUUAUUUUUUCUUUUAUCUUUCUAUAUAUCUUUUUUCCCUAAACAUUUAUCUUUUUUAUAUACUCGUAUACAGUACAAUCGCACUUUAGCGUGCAAAUCCGUUGCUAUCAUAUCAUAUUAAACUUACACGUGGCUCACUUAUUUUAUUUGGCUGGUGAAUUUGAGCUAUAAUUAAGUCAAGAAAACAUAUAGAGGCGUCGAUUUUAUGCGUAUAUAUACGAUGAUCGGUGGAUCUAGCUAUAUAGUAAUGUUUGCAUUUCAAGCAGUGCGGAUCCACACUUAUUUGGGUUGUACAUGUAUAUUUUAUUUUUUAAAUAAAUUGUCUCUCCUAACUUAGAUCUAAAUCUAUCAUUAUUUUAGGAUUAUAUAAGCAUAUGCAGUAUACUGAACAGUGAGAGAAAGAGAAGCAAGAAUAAAUCUUGAAAGAGUACGAUCAUGUCCGAACUAUUAUAUUAGAAGAGGAAUUAUAAUUAUUGUUGGAUAAAUAUUUAUUUUACUCUUUUCAAAGUGGUAAGGAUUCACAACUUGAUUCUUAAAAAAUGAAAAUUUUGAAUUUAAUUUUUAAAUGUAUAAAAAGUAUAACAGAUUGAUUCUUAAAAGAUAAAAAAUUUAAAUUUAAUCCCCUAAAUAUAUAAAAAAUGUGACAAAUUAAUUUUAUCCUUAAUUUUCUUAUGUUAUCCCUAACCUAUCUUGCAUGUUUAAACAAUACAUUCAAUGAUGAUAGUUGACAAUUAUCAUUAUCAUGUGAUUGUCCUUUUUUAAUUUAGUUUUUAAAUUUAAUAAUUUAUUCUCAUUUUAACAUUUGAAAUCACUUAUUAACAUUUUGAUAUCUAAGGUAACUUAUUAUCAUUUUAAUAUUUGAAUAUAAUCAGUUACUAACAUUUUGAUCUCUAAGCUUAAUUAUGUAUUCUCAUUUUGAUUUUUAAAAAUAUUUUUAAAUUUUUAAUUAAAUCUCACAUUACAUAUAAUUAUUAAUUAUUAGCAUACUCAUCAUCAUAUCCUCUUAUUUUCAUUUCACAUCCUUCAUUUUUCACUUUUCUCUUAAAUAAUUCAUCUUGACUUUAUAUUCAUAAUUUGUAUUCAAAGUUGGUUAUUUAUUCAAUUAAAACAUCAAUUCUAAUAAGAAAAUAACAUAAAAACAUCCUUAACAAAUUAUUUAAUUUCCAUCUUAAUAGAAGUGAAAAAAUGUUGUAAUAUUUAUACUGACAUGCAAUAUGAAACUUAAUCAUGAGUUUAAAAAAUUCAAAGAACACUAACCGGAGACAUUGAGUCUGUGGAUUCUCUCCGAGCAGCAGGAACAACCUUGCCCCUGUUAUAUUCUUGCGUGGGGAUAAAACCACUGAAUCCCAACGUGAUUUGCAUGGAAGAAUUUAAGAAUGAAGAUUUAAUUUAACCAUUUGGAGUGUCUCCAUAAAUUUCAUUCAGUCUUGAACUAAUUCUGGAUGUACUUGUGAUUAUACUUUAUGAUGCAUCCUGGUAAAGGAGUUUUAAAACUGCAGUAGGCUCAAGGUGUUUUGUUUUGGAAAUUGGUUCCAGAAAAUUUUGGUUGAGUUUGUUGCCGAGUUCUGCAAUGGAAUAUAAUUAAUUUUAAUUAACUUCCAUAAGCAGAUUCUUAUUCCUUUCACUGACAAAAAUUUCUUAAUCCAGCAACCAAAAUUAAAUAUGAUUAUUAAUCAUUUUUUAUUCAGAAAACUUGAUGCACCCUGAUGCAUUUUCCAUUUUGCUGAUGCAACCAAUUGUCUGCAUUUUGACUACGUUCUUUGUCUAUCUCAAGAUAAACAAGUUAUCCCCCAAAAAUUAUCUACAACUAAUAGAAAAGGACAAGAGGUAAAUAUUACAGAAGUAAUGUUUAUAUAUCAUUACUCAAUAGUACACAAUCAUUCAGUCAAAAUUUUCAUACAACCAAUUGUUGGUUUUUACAAUGAAAGUCAUAUUUAUCAUUUUUUUUUGUUGAUUAACAGUGAAACAAUUUUUACACUGACAAUGAAAUUAAUCUCAAUAAAAAGAAUGCAAGACUUCAAAUAAAUCAAACUCACUGUGGUUGAACUAGGCAACUAGCUGUAAUGUAAAGUAUGUAACAUAAAAUCUUCUAUUCCAUUAAUUCAUGGCUUUGUGUCCCAAAUGUUAAAAAAAAAAACCCAUUAGAAACAUAUGGAUAUGCAAAGAAUCAAUUCUAGCAGUGAGUAAAAGGGGUCUAUUCUGCCAGAAAUUUCAUGUUGGUAUAACUGAGUGUGAAUGUACAAUAUCUUCAAAUCAAAUUGCUACUGUAACAAGAAGAACAUUGGAACAGUGGUUCUAGCUGUAAAUCUAUAGAACAUUUUUUUCUUCUUAUAGGUUCCAUUUUCAACUGUUAUCACUAUCUUCCCAGGUUCACUGAUGUAAAAGGAGUUUCUAGUGCUGCUACCAUCUACACUUUGGUUUUGCAAUAAUACACUGUAUGAGCCUUCAUCAUCUGGAAUGAACUCUUCCUUGUAGGACACAUUCCAUCCCACCACAGUUACAUCCCACAUUAUUGUCACUCCAAGCUAGACACAUUCCAAAAUCAAAUUACAACAAAUAAGCAAAUUAGGCCAACAUGAUAAAUAAUAAUAGAGUUUAAUGUAUAUGUACUAGCUGUAAAACAGUUUUACACUGACAUCCAAUCACAAAUCAUCAUUUUAAUUACUUUAAGAUAAAUGUGAACAAACUUAUCAUAUAUGAUGGAUUGUAAUUAGAUGAUUGUGUACUAUAGUGCAUAAUCAUUUUUCUCAUAAUAAUAAUACUUUUACGUGCAUGUGCACAAGUGCAUUCAAUUUGAAACCAAAAAAAAUCAUGUAUAUACCUCUUUGACCGGAAAUUCAACUUUCGAAACCGUACUUCCUUUGAUUUUAUGCUCUGAAACCUUAUCAGAAGGUGAAAAAUCUUCAUCAUUGUUCCUCCUUACACCACCAUAUUCAGUUGGAAGGUGCUCUGGGGCUAUAAACCUUCACAAAUGACAAUGUUAAUUAACGGUGGUUGAAUUAGAUAAGAUUGAGAGAAUGGAACCUAAACACUUACUUAAGAAGUGUCUGUGUGACCUUCUGUGGCCUAGCUAAGAUGAACUUCUUUUUAUUUCUCUGAUUCAUGAACCUUGAGAAUAGCACUUGAGAAGUGUAGAACCAAAAUGGAGCAUAUACUAUAAUCUGCAAAAUUAAAUAUAAAAAAAAUGGGGGAAAGAAAAAUCAAUCAGCAUUCUGCAGUUUCAAUUUAGAUUGAAGACAUAAUAGCCAAUAUGCUCUAUUAUACAUUUAUAAACUAACAUUUUUGUGAAUGAUCUCAGGGUAGUAAUUCUGAAACAAAAUUAGAGCCCUUUUGCUGAGUGAGUUGAGCUCCUUGGUUCCUUGCAUUGGUGUGUUCCUCAAAUCAAAAACCUGAAGUACAGAGUUCACUCCUCCUUCCCUAAAGCAAAGCUUCUUCACAGCCUUUUCAAUCAAUUGAAUUCUCCACCUCAAAUACUUGUCACAUUUGUUAUCUGAUCCAAAGGUCUUCUUAUAGAUGCGCCUGUCUUUGAAAAUCCCACAAACAUGGUAACACACAGGACGACCUUCCCUAUCUUUACUGCACAAGAAUCCUGCAUUAUUAUUUCCAAACUCAGCCCCCAAAUCCUCAUCAAUGAUCCUAUCAACGUUGUUCUCGCGCCGCCACACAAGUGUCUUCUGCAGCAUGUCAAAUGCCUCACUCACCUUGAAAUCCUUGGCCUUCAAGAAUUUCCUCAAAACAACAUCAGUUCCCUUAUGAGCCUUGCUUGGCAACAAAGGAACGCCCCAGAGAGUAAUCUCUCUAAUCUGUUCCCUUGCCACUACUAUUUCUUGUGGCGCAAGUUUCUCAUGAUCUUGUUCUCCUAACAGAUAGUUCCCAAGAAUGGCAUCCUCAACCUUGCAACGAAACUCGAGCAAUGACUUCUCCGCCUUGAGCUUGAUCUCAGCAGGACUCGGGGCUGCGUCUCCCAAAGAUGUGGCCUCAAGAUCAUCAUCAUCAUCUUCUUGGUCACAAUCAUGAUCUUCUAAUUGGUUCUUCUUCUCUAAUUGGACCUUGAGACUCUUCUCAAUAUUGUUGGUGUUCUUAUCGAAGAAAUUGAAAACUAAGGGCACCCCAACAACGAUUUUCCCAUUUUCAUCGUUGCAACAACAUUCAUUGGUGUUGUUCAUGGUUGCAACAAAAAUGUUGAAAUUAAUUCUUCUUCUUCUCCUCCUCCUAGAUUAGAGCAUUUGGCAGAGGGAGGGAGGGGGUGGAGAAGGAAGAGAGAAAAAGUGGCAUUUAGAUUUACAUUACAUGCAUAUGCAUGAGAAGGCCUUGUUAAUUUGUGACAACUCAAUAAUGUUGAAUGAUGAUGGGUCACUUUCCCUCAAAUUGAGAAUUCUCAACCGUUAGUUUGUUUAGGUGAGUGGCGCCAAAUAUAGAUCACAAAUGGCUUGGUUUCUUAUUCAAUGGCAAAUAUUGCUUUUUGAAUGAUUUAAACCAAGUUGGCAUGGCAAGAGGCACACGGACCAACCUCGGUGUAAUCACAACAACCAUCUUUGAUUUCUUCUUUGCAAUCUUAAAACCUGCCUCAGAAGAAGAAAAAAAAUACAGGGAGCAACUUUUUAUAUAUGCACUAGCUUAAUAAUCCGUGUCUUGCACACAUGUUAAAUCUUAAUUAUGGAUUGACCCAUAAAGUUAUUUGUCUCCGACAUUUCACCUUUAUCAAACACUAAAAUAUAAGUUCUUUUGUUCGAUCAUCGUUGCACGCAUCAUUCUUCAAUAUCUAUUGUUGGUUUUUCAGUAAAGGCUUACCAUUAUUCUGUAAAGGCUUACCAUUAAAAGACAUAAUAAGGAAGAAAUUAUGGGAAAGUUCAUGUUUCUUUCUUUUUUUAUUAUUAUUUUCAUCUCAUUAAUUUUUAUUACAUAUUUCUAUUUGUUUCUUUUCUUUUUGUUUUCAUUUGACCACACCUUACAUAUCCCAAUAUUUAAAUAUUUUUUCUUUCACUUUUUAGAAGAUUUUUAGUGUUUGAUAAAGGUGAAAUGUCGGAGACAAAUAACAUUAUGGGUCAAUCCAUAAUUAAGAAAAUUACAAUAUAUUUACACCAAAAUAAUGGUAAGCCUUUACAGAAUAAUGGUCAGCCUUUACUGAAAAACCAACAAUAGAUAUUGAAGAAUGAUGCGUGCAACGAUGAUCGAACAAAAGAACUUAUAUUGAUUAUAAUUAUACUAAUUAAAUUAAAAUAACAUAAUUAAUUUAAUUAGUUUACUUUAAAAGAAUCUUAAUUACCUCAAUUAACACAUAUUAGUCAUAACUACCUUAACUUUAAAAUAGAAUAUAUACAUUGGUCAAAAUAGUCUAUUUAACAAUAUUUAUUUUUAUAAUUAACAUCAUAUUUGUAUCCGUAACGAGUAACACCGUUAGUUAUUGUAAAAGAAAAUAAACAAUUUUAUAUUAUACAUAUAAUACUAAAUUUGGUAAGUUGAUUGUUAUUAGAUAAUGAAUUGUUUACAAAAGCUAAAACAGUGAAAGAAAAUUUUAAAACAUUUAACAGUGAGAUGGUUAUUUAAUAGGGUUUAGUAACAUGAGCGGUAGGAUAAAUUGAGUUUAAAAGAUUUGUUUUGUAGCAGAAUAAAUUGUAUGCAAGAGGAGAAACCUAAGUUAUUGUAUAAUAAAAAAACUGUAUGUAAUUUGUAUGAAGAUUAGUUAUUAAUUAUGAUCCGCCAAUAGAGAAAAGGAAAUGAUAUAUUUCAUAAGAUAUCAAAGGUACCAAGUAGAGUACACAAGAAAAGAUCCCGUUACAAAACCAAGAAAGGAAUUAUUUGUAAUCUCUUAUCUUAACUAUAACUAUGUCCUGGUACAAAAAAUCUUGUUGUAUCUAAAACACUAUUAUUCAUCCUUUCUACAUAUAUCCAUAUCCAAGCAAAAAAAUGAUGAAUAUAAAACACAUAUCCCAUCAGAAAACACAUGCAAGAUGCUUAAUGAUGUUGGCAGAUAGACCAAGCAUACGAAGAAUAAGAAAAGCUUCUCAUUUAAGUUGCAUGGUACUAUGGUGAGCCAUUUCUACUCCUAAUCAUGCAUAAUACUUGAUUGAAAUUUAACUGCACCUAAAAGACAAAUUGUUACCAUUCUCCUCAUGUUGAAAUCAAAUGAUUUUUAUUUGAAUAAAAUGAUAGAUACAUUGAGGAAUAAAAGGAAAGAACAUGUUAAGUAUCAUAUUGAGUUUUUGGGUUUAAAAUUCCGUAAUGAUUAGUUUAGUUUCAUGAUCAUAGGAAAAAAAGACAUGAUAGUUUAGUUUAAAAAAAAAUAAGUUAUUAUACAGAUAAAUUCUCAUCAUAACAUAAUACUAAUAUGCAAUUUUCACUUGACAGCAACUUGUGUUGGUGAUAGACGUCACCUGAUUAAUUUGUAUUUGUAAGCAUGAAAAUAUCAGCUUGAAUGGAAUGAGGAAGAGUAAUUAUUUUAUUCAUUGUUAGUAAUAUUAUUUUAGGUAUAAUACUUACCAAAAUAUUGUAAUUGUUUCUUAAAAAUUCCUCAAAAAUGAUCCCGUAGUCAGAAAGUCUACAUCAAGAAAAGAAAUGUGGUUAAUUUUUAUCCAAAUAUAUAGUUUACAAAUGAUAUAUAGUUAUUUACACCAUGAUAACAUGGCAAUGGGGUGGGGCGGAGACGGGUAUUGUCUCCUCAGUUCCCGACCCCAACUCCCCUACAUAUACCCGUAUCCGUCUUGAUACUUGACGGGUUAAAAUUUGUUACCUCAUUUCCGUACCCGUUGGAUAUCGGGUAUCCCCGUCCCCGGUUUAGAUUUGUAAAAAAAAAUUGUAAAAAGAUUAUAUUGAAAAUCUGAUUAAAAAAAUUGAUUGUUACACAUUUAUUUUUAACUACUUGUAUUUGCAGUGCAUUUGUCUACAAAAAUCAUCAAGAAAAGAAUCUUAACUUAUGUAAAAAUUAUAAAAAAAUUAACAAGUAAUUAAUAAAAUUUUAAUAAUUUCAUCAUCGGGACGGAUACAGGAAUGGGUUUGGGACGGGUAGUGACAUCCCCGUCCCCGACCCCGACCUCGAUUAAAAAAGUCGAGUAAUCUUCGAACCUGAACCCAUACCUGGUCAACUCGGAUAUUUUUCAUCAAAAUCGGGACGGGUUUGGAUGAAUACCCACAGGUACGGGUUACGGGUUUCAUUGUCAUGCCUACACCCUGGUCAUAGGUUUUGAAAAGCUUCUUUAAAGACAACAUUGGUGGUUGUCUUUUAAGGGUUUUCCAUCUUUGUCAUAUAUUAAAAUCUUCAGCCCUUUAUUUACUUUGUCCUCUAGAAAAUGUCACAUAUAAUUGUUCAUGACUAAAUAUAGGUCUAGGCAAGUAUAAGUCUAUGUUUUUCAAUUGUUGACCUUGAGACUUGUUAAUUAUCAUAGCAUAAGAGACAAUCAAAGAAAAUUUUCUUCUCACAAGCUUGAAAGGUCUUGAUGACUAAAAAGAAGAUAAAGACAUUCAUGGAAUGUAAACUAAGUUUUCAAUGUUUUUUUUCAAAAAUGAUGUGUGCUUCAAUAACAUGAUUUGCAAGUCUUGUAACUAUUAAUCUAGUUCCAUUAACAAUGAUAAUAAUAAUAGUUAUUAUUAUUAUUAUUGUUGUUGUUGUUGUAUAAUAAAAUUGAUUUAGAAUUUAUAUUUGUACAAUAAUUAUAUUUGGAAAAAAUAAAGUAUAAUAAAUUAAUUAUUAUAUUAUAUUAUAUAAAUCAAAAUAUGUAUAAUUUUUAAUGAUUUAAUCUAAUUGCAUAUAUGUAACUAAGUGAUUGAACACAAGUAGUUAAUGUAUUGAAAUUAAAAUUGAAUUGUAUGAGUUUUAUAAGUUCAAUCAUUGACAGAAAUAAUUUUUAGUCAAGUUUUAUUGACCUCCUGCUGAAUUCCGCAUUAGUCAACGUCUCUUUCCCUUGAUGAACUAGGGGAUUAAGACAAAAAUCUAAUACAUACAUGUUGUAAUCACCUAAAUUACUAUAAUUAUUUAUUUUUAUAAAUUGAUAGUAGAUUAGUUUGAAUGGUCAAAUAAAAAAAAUCACAUUGAUCAUAAUUUCCUUAAUUUUAUGUAUUAGAAUAAGAAUAUAUAUUAUUCACCAAAAAAAAAAAGAAUGUAUAUUAGUACUGCAAAUUAAUUUGAAAAAUAAAUACUUGUAUUAUUAGUUUGAAUUUUUUAAUAAAAAAUUCUACUAAGCAUAAUUUCCAUAAUUACUAUAACUACUAUAAAUAUAAUAAUUACUUUAAUUAUACAUUUUAAAAGAAUUUGUUUUUCAUAUGCUAACUUAUUUAAAUUUUCAAAGAUAAUAAUGCGAGAUUAUCAUCCUAUAAUAUAUUUAUGUCACGAAAUUAAUAUAAAUCUUAUGAGAUUUUUUAAAAUUUGAAAAUUGAAUUAGACUAUAGUGUUAUAAAUUAAAAUGUGAUAUUAAAAACGUGAUAAUAAAACAUUGUCAUAAUUAUAAAAUAAAGAACUAUUAAAGAUUUCAUGUUUUAAUUGAUUAAUUUAAUCAAAAUACAUAUACCUGUUAUAAGUGUCUGUGUUACUAUAAUUAAGUAAAAUAACGUAUUUUUAUGAAUUAAAAAUAAAAAUAAAAAAAUAGAAUUUAGGCAUGAAAAAAAUGAAUACGAUGAUUUUAACCGUGCACCAUAUCAGGCAUUAACCUUACUAAUUUUGACCUGCACGGUAUGCACGUACCAGAUGUUAAAAUAUAUUAUUUUUAUAAAUCGGAAAUAAAAGAAAUGCUAAACUAUAUAAUCUGCUUGAGAAACAAAAUAUAUAAAUUGGAUGAUAGAGUUUCUAAAAUUAUAGUUCUCUUCAACUAAAGAAGUGACGAAAGCAAAAAAUUUAGUCAAUGGAUUAGUAUACACUUGACCAACAGCAUGAGUUUAAUUAGUUAAUAUGAUAUGGUCAAAUAUUAUAACUUUAAACUCUCUAGUUAUUUAAAAAAUAAAACAUAAUAAGCAAAGAAUUCGUUCAAGUCAUAAACAAGGCCACUACUUUAGGUUGACAUUUCAACAAUUGUUUCUUUGCAAAUUACUUAACAAACUUGGCCUCUUCUUUCAUUUAGUUCAUAAAGAUGCUUCAAUUCUUAUGCCUAUUUGAGUUUUAGGACUAUACAUCACAUAUAAGAAAGUAAUAGUCAAGGCAGAGAAAAAAGAUCGAUGAAUAAAAUAUAAUUCAAGAACGAAAGUUUGGACAUCUAGCUACUGUAUUCUACAUACAUAGAAUGUGAGGAAAUCCCAUUUACAAUAAUUUUAAAAAAGAACCAGACUGGUAUUAAAAAACAUGAAAUUGAAGAGGGGAGAAAAGAAGAGAUACACACAUAAGUUUGGCCACCUCCAAACAAGAAAUAAAAAUGCAACCAAGCUCUGAAUGCUCUGUACAUAGCAGGUGGCUUAUCAACUGUACCCUGUGGAUGAAAUUUUAGAACUCUCGGUAUUUAGUCAAAUCAAAGGUGAGAGUUCUCGAACAGCUGCAAAAGACGAAAAUCAUGGGUCAAUACAUUGGACUUAUGCUAUCAACAUAAUGACUAUUUAAAUCAAUUAAUGAUAUCUCAAGAAAUUUACCCUCUUUCAGAGUCUCUGUAAACCCCAACUAAUGCUUCGGCUUUGUCAUAAAAGGUGUCUUUCAGUGAUAUCACAAUACUCUGGAAACCAUUUCCACCAUCAACAUCCUGACUAAUCCUUGCUCCUUCACAAGAUUUUGAACGAAUAAAGCCAGCAACCUUGGCAACAUUCAAGUUGUCCAACGCAGCAUCAACUUCGUCCAAUAUAAAAAACGGGGAAGGCUUGUAACUGAAACAAGAAGUAAGUAGGGAACCAUAUUAAUGGAACAAGAAGAUAAGAUAUCAGCAAAAUAGUUUUAGGCUUAUGUGAGAUGUGUCAGUAUAUUGCUUAGAUGAAUUUUUGUUAUUAAAACACAAAUUCAGAGUAGUUAUAAAAUAUUCUUGUUCUAAUCCAAGUAGUAGUACAAACAACUCCUACCUAUGGAUGGAGAAUAGCAAUGCAAGUGCAGCAACUGUCUUUUCCCCACCAGAUAGCUGCUCCAUAUCACGGAAGCGCUUUGUUGGGGGCAUAGCAGUGUAUUUGAUGCCAUGUAGAAAUGGAUCAUCGUCAUUUUCCAAGUUUAGGUAUGCUGUUCCACCCAGUGGAUGUGUGUUGCUCUUUGUAAGUUGUUUGUAAAUUUUAUCUAUAUUACCAGAUAUAUGGGUAAAAGCAUCCAUGAACAAGUGGUACCUGCAUCCAACACAAACUUUGGCUUCAUCAGAAGACAGAUAAGAUACAACGAGUUUCUUUCCAAAACAAGGUCCAAAACAGACGGCAAAGAAAACUCCCACAUAUCUCAAUAUAAACUCUUAAGUAACUAGAAUAGAAAUCAAAGAUACACAAAGAAGUCAAAUAAGGAAAGCAUGUCAACUUUUUUUUUUUUUUUUUUUUUUGGUGUCUGGGGGGGUUAACAAAAGGUUAUAGUUUUCAGAAUUAGAAAGAUUGUAAGGGAAAAUGUAGGGCAACACAUGUUCAGCAGAAACUUAUCCCCAACCCCUUCAGUGAAAUUAUCAAAUAAUCAAGUUGACCAGGAGCUGAUUGACCUUUUAGUGGGAAUUUUUUAACAUAAGAUCAUAUUUAUGGAUUUUAUGUAAAGUUACCAUCACAAUUAACAUUGGAUCUUAAAGGAUGUUACUAUCACUGUUCUGAGGGAUCAUAAAGGUUCUUCUGAAUUCUAUUAUGUGAUGCCAAAAUAGUAAAAGGUGGAAGACAGUGAAUGGGUGACCACCCCCAAAAUGCUAUAUAGUAGCAUAGUAGAUUGUGACUUGUGAGGCAGACCCUAAAGCAAGAUAUGAUCUACUAUCUAGAAUGAAAAUAAUUGAAAAGGAAAAGAAUAAAGCACACAAAUAUGCGUGUGGAGUAGCACAUUACAGCAUUUACUCAAAUUUGAUAAAUCACACAAUUUAGUAUAGCAUCAUCUGUUACGCCUUAUUUGGUAUGAAGGAAGGAAAUAAGUUGGUGUUUGGUAGGUGAGACUUAGAGGAAAAUUAAUAUUAAAACUGGUGGGACCCACUAUAAUAUUUCUCACUUAUUUCCACUCAUCUCUCCAUCUCUCUCCUCAUCUCUAUUUCUCUUCCAACCAAACACCUUUUAAUUUUCACUUUAUUUCUCACUUAUUUCCAUUCAUCCUUUUUAUUUUGAUCCACCCUAUUUCUCUCCUCUGCCAAACAGGGCAUUAAAAAUCACUCCUCACUUAUACAAACAACUAGUCAUUUCAUUUUUUCUUUGCAUGUUUUCUGAUGUAAUUUUAAGACUUCUUAAUGUGUCCACCUAAACCGUGCACACUAUAAACUAUUGGCUAGGUACUAAUGUUAUAAAUAAUACAAGUAAUGACAAAUGAAACAAAAAUAGCUUUACCUUCUCUGCUUAACCUCAUUGAAUCUCUGUGUUUUUUCCCUCUCCUCUUUCCUGACAGCUUCAAACUCUUCAGUUACAGCUCUUUCUUUUUCUAGCAGAGCUUCAUAUUGGUCCAAUGCCUUCAAAUUUGGUGCUGUUCUUUCAAUCUCAGAUAUCAAGGCAUCAAUUUUUUGCUUAAACUCUACCUCAAUUUUAUCCCUGUCUGAGUGUCUCCUAUCUUUCAGUGCCCUAUUUAGUUGAUCAAAGUCAAAAGAUGGACCUGGUACUGAGCUAUCAGUAUCCAUAGGAUCCAGUAUGAUCGGGAGGCUAAUCUGUUCUAGUUCACAUUUUUCUAAUAUUUCCUGCUUUUGCACAUUCAACUGAUCAAUCUGUGCCUCCUGUAAAGACAAUAAAGAUGUUGGCUAUCUAUAUUAUGCAGUGUAAGUUACACAAGAGAGAAGAACUGUGCCCAUCUAACCUUAGAGUGUAUCAGACGAUUAAGUUUGGAUAUGUUUGUUGUGGCUGCAGAAGCUUUCUUCUUCCACUCUUGGAUUUCCUUUUCACAAUCUUCUGACUUUGAUUUCCACUCUACAAGAGUAAAAAGAAAAGAGAAAGAAUAAGAUUCCCAUGGAAGAAAAUUGAAGUAAUAGUGGAUCUGUGUUCCCAUCAAUUUCAAAUUGCAAACAGCAAAGGACUACCCAGAUAACCAAGCUUUCACCCCAAUAACACCCCAAAUCCACAAGGGGAAUAAAAAGAUAGCAAAUCCAAAGAAAACACAGGUUGCACCAAAUAUACCUUUAGCUUCUUCCUUAAGUUGAUUAAUCUCUUCCGUAGCAUUCUCAGCUGCUAACUUCGCUGCAGCCUCUCUGUCAUGUACACGUUUUAAAUCUUUCUCUAAAGCACCAAGAGAAGAUUCCAAAUCUUGAAUUCGUGAAUUCAUAUCCCGAUUUUGCUCAUACUCCAACCUGUAGAAUAUUUUCCAAAAAUACAAACAAAUCAAUUCAUGAGUGACUAGCUAAAUAGCAAAUAAAACUGAAAGUUGAGCUCCAAGUAUCUUCUCUUUUUUUCCUCUUCAUCAACUCUCUUAGGUAAUUGAAAACCUUCUGAACAUAAAAGGAGAUGCAGUACAAGAAACUUUGGGUAAGUGAGAACACUAUAUGCAACAAGGACCAUAUUCCAUAUCACUUAACAAAAAGUUCAGUUGAAGAACUAAUUUUGAUGCAGUACAUCAGAAUUUACUCUUGGCUUUUCCACCACAGAAUCAAUGAUUUGAUCCACAUGGACAAACCAGCAAGAGUUAUGAAUCUAAAAUUACUAAUGUGAAAUAGAUCUUAACAACAAAAUAGGUAAUAGCUAUUAGAUAGACAUUUGCUGACCACCCCACUUAAACAGUGAAACAAAUAUACAGACCUAGUCUUCAAUAUAUAAUCCUCCAACUAGUAUUUCUAUCCCCAAGAUAAUAUAGUAAUUAGAUUUUUGUAAAGGAAAAAAAGAAAGAUAGCUUAGCAUCCUAGAAUUGGUUGAACUUCAACAGUUGCAGCUUUCUUCUUUCCUCUUUCAUUUCCAACAAUCUUUUUUUCCUCCAAUUUGAUGGCAGUUUGAUAAUGUAAUACAGUAAUAGUUGUUGGUAUUUAAAACACUUAUAGCAAAGCACAUACAUAUUACUUGUUUGCAAGUUCAUAAAUGCAUUCACACAUGUAAAGUUAUGUACGUCAAGUUAACAAAUAACAAGGUGUAAUUAAAGUAAAAGAGAAGAAGGAACACACUGAUAUUUUAAUUUUGAGAGUUGGCUACUCAGGUUCAGCCUCUCCUCUGCUAUACUUUGAGCAGCCUUGAGUCGAUUUUCUUCAUACUCACGGAUGUUUGCAACCCCAACUGACUUGCUGAAGUCUCUGUAUAUCCUGUCAGUAAUUUCAUUUAUCCUCUUCUCAAGCUUACGUACAUCUGCAUUGCUCUUGUUAACAGCAUCAUUUAACUGCAGAGCAUAAACACCAAAUAACCAGUUAAAUAUAGAAGAAUAUUGCUAAGAAUGAACUAAGGAUAUGUAAAUGCCACCUUCUGCAGGUCUGGACUGAUGCAUUCAAUUCUUUCUUUGAUGGUCUUUUUUUCUUGGCUCAAAUUUGAAAGUUUAUCUUCAAUGCUUCGCUGGAAAAAUUAAAAGCAUAGAGAUAAAAUACUUGAAAUAUUCCAUAUGGAACAAAAGACAUAACUUCAAACACACAAUCCUUAAUUAAUGUUAACUUGCCUUUAAUUGGUGCAUGUUUUCAAAAAUAAACAACAAAAAGUGCAAUUUUAACUAUUUUUGCAAGGACAGAAUAUGACCAGUUAGAUUUCUCAUGCCUACAAACAAACUACAGCCUCUUCCCCUAGUUACUUCCUGCUAAUUAAUGCUGAUAUUUUAAUGCCUAUGAUUAUUAAAUUUUAAUCUAAAAACUUAUGAAACAAUUGGAUGAAGUUUGUGCUACUAGAGUUUGGGUGGAACUUAUUCAUCCUCAAUAUAAACUAGCCAAAAAUCCAAUAAACCCUGCUUUACUUGGACAUUUAUUGUAUCCUAGUUAGAAAUUAAAAGACUUGCAGCUUCCAAGUUUGAUUGUACCUUUUCAAUCUCAGCAUAUUGAAUUUUCUUCUCAAGUCCACUAAUUUUUCCAGAUGCUUCAGACUCUUUAAGGUGCAUAUCUCUUAUUGAUCCUAGCUCUUCCAAUUCUGAUUCAUACUGCUCUUUCUUUUUAUUAAGUCCUGAAAAACAACAUGAUUAUUGCAAGAGCAAAAGCUUUGAAUUAAGUUUUAAAAAAAAAUGAUAAAAACCUUCAAUUUUCUUGUCAUCCCACUGUUUUGACCUUGCUUCCAUUCCACCACUAGUGCCCCCAGUCAUUGUGCCAGAUUUUGUCAACAGAAUUCCGUCCACAGUUACAACUAAGCAAAUCAAAUUACAUAGAACAAUGUUCACUAAUUUUCAAUCUAACAAGCAUGAUUGUAUUAAAUGCACCAGGAAUGCAUCACAAGCAUAAUAAGUACACAAUAGGAUUCUCCUGAAGCCAAAAGGUUUGUUAGAUAAGAAACAAAAUUACAAAACAACAAAGAAACACAAAGUGCAAAGACCAUAGAGUCAAGUAAAAGUUAUAAACUGGGUGCCAAAAAAGUAAGGAGAAUGAGAAGCCAGAGGGGAAAAUACAUGGGGAUCAAAAUGGAACAACAUCCAAGUACUAUCAUUAAGCUCUAAUGGCAUGUCAGUAAGAAGGCAAAGAAUCUGUAGAUAAUAGAAAGAAAAAAGGUCUUGUUACCUUUAAACCUCUCACCGCUCCAGCUUAAAAUUUUGGCCUCCUCAAGAUCAUCACAAACUAGAGUAUUCCCAACAGCAAAGAGAAUUGCCUUCUCCAAGGAGGGAUCAAACUUGCACUAGUUAAGUAGAAAAGCUUAAAGCACUUCAGCUUAGAGGUGUAUAAUUAAGUGGUUUGACAAAAAGCAUGAAAUUAAACUUUAUGAUGGGGUAUUCAUGAGAAGGAAAGAAGAGAAAAUACAUGAAUGAUUUAUGCUCAAUGCUUAAUAGACCACCUAAUUAUAAUCCAAGAAUGCAUCUGUCCCUAUAGGAAUUCAUUAAUUCAACAGUAUGUCAAAUAGCAUUUUGAUGAGACAUGAGAGGAAACUACUGAAAAAAAUCUGCAAAUCUGAAAAAAAAAAAACUAUAUAUCUUAUUAGGGAGAGGAUUUGAUUUUAGUGAGCUACAGGAAACAGCACCGACAACAGAAGCUAAAGCAUAAAGCAAUACGCAACAAGAGGGGUGAGGACAACGUAACAAUAGAAAACUGUUAAAAACUACCAAAACCAAGUGGCCAGCAAACUCUGAUGAUGUUAAGAUGACAGCAGCUCAAUGCAUCACAAUGACAGACAUGGUUACUCCACCCACAGAAACAGCCAUUUGCAUGAUUUUGUUAUCUAAGGAGAUUGCACAUUCCUUUAGGAUUUUGAUCAUACAAUUCAAAGGUGGUAUGAAGCAUACAACAACCUUAUUCCACUGAGUGAGGUCAACUACAUGGGUCACACAUCGCCAUUCACCUCAAAGCAGGAAGCAUGUAAACCAAAAAUAUUUUAUAACUCCUUUGUGCCUUCCCAGAUUCAGAAAUUUUCAAGCAAUGUGGUUAACAUCAAACAUUGCUAAUUUUUUGAAUUAGUCAAAACUCAAAACAAUAAAAUCAUGAUUUACAAGCUAUCUACAGAAGGUAAACUUCAAGAAAACUUCGGUUUAUAAGAACAAAUUUAAAUAACAAAUUUGCAAACACGAUCAGAACCAAAUUCUUCAAAGUAGCCACUGGAGAAAAAAGGAUAUUGAAUCACGUCAAAAAUCAGUUUUGCUGUACCCCGUAAUGUGCGCAAUCUUUCCAUUAUUGGCUUCACCCGAACUGAUUCCAGAGGAAUAAAUGUCUGGGGAGGAAGCCUCUGAUCUUUUAAAUACUGAAAAGCAAAGAAAUCAAUAUUCCAAUCAAUAUCAAUACAUAUAACAAUAAGAAACCAAUUAUAGAGCUUCAAUAUUCAAACAGGCAAAGUUGCAAUUUUAACACCAAAUUCUAGCUAUCAAGCAAUUAUAUUUAUAGCAAUCUGGUCAGUGCAACCAAAGAGCAGUGUCAAACAUAACAUAAAUUCCACUGGAAUGACAGAUGCAGCAAGUGAGUUCUAGUCAUCAAGGAUGAAAAGACAACAAAAUGAAGGUCCACCAGUUAGAAGGCACCAAACAAGCUUAAAGUUUGGGCCUCAGUUAAAAAGGUGCUUUUUCGGAAGUCCAUAAUAUUUUUUUUAUUUUUGUAUUUUUUUUCAGAGCUCAAGGAGUGCUCCUACGCAUAUACAUCACUAAAUCAAUUAAUGCUGCUUUGGCUUCUUUUUUUUACUUAUUCAUGCUGUGUGAUCACCAAUAUUCAAAUCAAAAGCAACAAAAACCCAUCAACAAUAAAUAGAAUAUGAUCUCUAAAAGAUGACUUGGCAAUCAUAAAAUCAAAAGGAUAAGGCAAAAUGGCAAAAAAAACAGAAUAUUAGGAAAACUUAUUAGGACCUUGAUGCAUUCCUUCCCAGUCUUUUCAUUAUCAACUACGACUGCAUCCAUAAAUUUACCCAUAGCAACAGUAACAGCUAGGUUAUACUUCUUCUGUGUUGGUCUACAAAGAUCAGUCAUGCGACCAUGAACUCCUUGAAACAGGCGUUUUAGAGUCUCAACAGCCUGAGACAACCUAACAUCUCUCUCAUUUUCAUAUCUAUCAGCCUUCAAUUCACGUAGUUGAUUUUCUAAUUCACCAAUUUUUAACUUCAAAUUUUCAUAUUUUUUCCUGCAGAUCAAAAGUAGCACACGCCAUUACAAAAAUAUCAUCAGUAAAGUACUUUAGCGCAGUGGGAAGCUUUAACAAUUCUCAAAAAAAAAAAAAAACAUUGAAUAACAUGUUAAUUUACUUGGAAUCACGAUGUUUGUCCUGCAUCACGCGUAGUUCUUUUUUCAAGUUUUCAAGGCCAACUUUAUUUUUUGCAGAAUUAUCAAGAAUUUUUUCAAGCCUUGCUCGCAUCUGUUCUUCCUGCGAAUUCAGUUCAGACUCCCUGUUUCUUAACUGUUGAAGAUUUUCUUCCAAGUUCUUUUGAGCUUCACUAUCAGCGUUAAGUUUCCUAUCUAGAAGCUCCUUUUCCUCUCUAAGCUUUGCAGUUUUCAUUCCAGCUUCCUCUUUGCUGUAAUGCAACAUUGCAACAUCAUUAUUACAAGUUCCAAAACAGAAAAAUGUAAUGACAAAUGAAAACUUAACAUGCAUCAUAAGUGAUAACUACUAAGUACUGACAAAUAAAUUUUUAACUGCUCAGGGAGAACAAAUUGGCUACCAGAAGACAGAAUUGAUGAAAUUCAGAGCAAAUUAUGUAAAAAAUAUAUGUUUCUUAUCAGGAAGUUCCAAUUGAGAACACAUGGCCAAACCUGCUAAUGAGAGGCAAUUGGUCAUUGAAUGAAAUACCAUAUACAAGCAACACUAUCUACACAAUUUUGGCUGAUAUUAGUCAAAAUCACCAUGAAUACAUGUUCCAACUUCUGGCUAAUGACACUUGCUUUCCUUUUCCUUUUCAUUACUACACUAUCCAACUAAUGCACAAUUUUAACCAACAUAAAAUAAAGGAUUUUCCUUCAAGUAACAGAAAAUAAUAAACAGAAUUAACAAAAUAGUUUUAACUUGUACCCUAACAAUCUAGCUCACAAAUUAUCUCAACAGAUCGGCAUAAUCAAAUAACAUGAGUACACGGUAUAUGUGGCAGACAUGAUUUUAAGUGCACGCCAAAACUCAAUAGCAUUAAAGUUUUCUCUGAGCACAAUGCAAGUAUUCUGUUUCCCAAAAAAGGGGAAAUAUAUAUAUAUAUAUAUAUAUAUAUAUAUAUAUAAAAAAAAGAGAGAGAGAGAGAGAGAGAAAGGCGGCAGUAGGCAAACAGCUACAGCAAAUAAAGACUCACAUGCGAAAAUAUUCUUCCAAGUCAUUGCCUUGCAAAUCAAGCUCGUCAUCAACAUCUCGUCCCUUUUCCUGAAGGUCUGCCAUUUUUGCUGUAAGAUCCUGGAUGUCAUUCUGUAGUAAUGCUAUAUCAGCAUCAUGCUUCUUCCGUUCAACCUUUUUUUUAUCAAGCUCUUUCUUCCCUUUUUUAAUUUUUGAAGUUAUACGAGUCAUUUCCUCCUUUAACUUCAGAAGCUCAGGUUGCUGCCAGGAGGGAGGAAAACCAGAGAAACAAUCCCAUAAACUAUUCAGUGUAUUUAAGAGCAUAACAAAUACAAUCAACAAUAGGAUUACAGGAAAACCUAAAAGAAAUUAGCUAGAUGAUUUUCAGAUACUCCCAAAUCUUUUAUCUCUAUUUUGUGUCUAAAGGAGUUGUCAUCCUUACAGCCCUCGCUGUUCCCAGAUUAACAAAACCAUUUUCCAAAUCUUAAAAUUGCAAUUUUCAACCCAGUUUUCUUCAAAACAAAUAUGACCAAAAGCAGCAAAGUUCAAAGAGUAAAACAUAGAAUCAACCUAUGUAAAAAGUUCAAUGGCUGGAGUUGAUAAUAGUAUGAUGACAAUGAUCUUAACUUAUAGUCCCCCCACCCCAAAUGUAGAAAAAACACUUACACUCUUGUCAAGCUUGUUGCCUUUCUCAGCAAUUCUCUUUUCACGUAGUGCAAUCUCUUUCAGAUAUUUAGCCUGCUCUUUUUUCUUUUUACUAGCUUCACUUUCAAAGUAUUCUAGCUCUUUAACAACACCUUCACGGCUUUUUUCCUCAUCUUCAAGAUCCUUAAUUGUUUCAGCAUAAUCGUUGUGUAUAUUAAACAACUUCCACAAGAAAUGUUCUCCCUUCAUAGAUUUCUGCAAGAGAAAAACAGAGAUACUUGAAAACUUCACCUUCCACAAUAAGUCUGAUGACUGAUAGAGAAAAUGCAUGAAUUGUUGGUAGUUGCACAAAUGACUCCUAGUUGAAAAUGAAGUAGAACUGUAGUCCAGGAAUGUAAUCAUAUCUUUUAUUCAGUUGAAAGUAAAAAAAUAUCUAUAGUUACUUGAUCAAACAUACUGUAGUGAUAUAGUUAGCCACCAAUUCCAACCACUGCAGGGGUUGUAGAAAACUCAGGUACAAAGAUUAUUUAUCAAAGAAAGUAGAAACUAUACACUUACGCGCAGCUUAAGCAAUUUCAAUGAAAGGGGAAACAGAAACAGGAGACACGUAAAGGUCACUCAAAGCGGAACCUAUAAUUUGUUGUCAGUAGCCUUUGGAUCUUCAAGAGAAAGUUCCACUUUCAAUCAACUAUCUCUAUCAAGUAUCAAACCCAGUCAAUGGAGCAAUGGAGGUGGGAAGAACUCAGAAAAGCAGUGAAGUCGUGGAAGUGUUGAUGUAAGAAGGGUGAUAGAAAACUGAAGGUGAAACUUUUACUUUUUUUACUUCUUAUAGUUAAUAGAAGUGAGGGCGAGCCCUGGUGCAGCGGUAAAGUUGUGCCUUGGUGACUUGUUGGUCAUGGGUUCGAAUCCGGAAACAGCCUCUUUGCAUAUGCAAGGGUAAGGCUGCAUACAACAUCCCUCCCCCAUACCUUCGCAUAGCGAAGAGCCUCUGGGCAAUGGGGUACGAAGUUUUUAUAGUUAAUAGAAGUGCCAUCCUGCCAUGGUCCAAUUAGCCAUGUGGCAGAAGAAAGUACAAUAAAACAUAAGCUUAAGGCUAACCCAAGCAAAUGAAACUACAUCAAACUAAAAUAGGCCAAUUGGAACCACGGGCAACCUACACCUACACACAUAAACAAACAUAAAUUGAAACAGAUCCCAUUACCAGUUCUUGUUGCAGGCGGAGAUGCUUCUCUGCUUCUUCCUUCUGUUCUUUCUUCUGUUUUCUCUCCAUAACCACUGUCUUCUUUUUCUGAUAAACAAGCGCUGAUUUUUCCUCAGCAGCACCUUUCUCCUCCUCAAACUGCUCAUAGUCCCUCUUGCACUCAUCAGAGCCGGAUAUCUGCUCCACCAGUGCAGUGAGCUCUUUGGGAUUCUUCGAUGCAAUAGACUCCACAUCACCCUGCACAAUUUAGCAUUGUCAAUUGAGACCUGUAACAGAUAUAAAACAUGUUUGGAUAAACUUCAGUUCAGAGUUUAAAAUCUAGGAAGCAUAGACACUUCCGAUGAAUGCCGUGCACACGUGUCGGACACGUUUCCAACACUCCUCGGACACCAUGUCAGACACGUUUUUGUGGUGUCCAAUUUUUUAAAUUUUUUUGGGGGGCUUGGACACACUGCGGACACUUCUCCAAACAGUUGGACAUGCAUCGGACACUUCUCUGGACACAGUGGACACUUCUCUGAUUUUUUUUUUAUUAAAAUUUUAAAAAAUCAACCUAAAAGAUUAGAUUAUAAAAAAUUCUUUUUAAAAUUAGCCUAUUUUGAUAAACUCUUUCACGUAGCAUUCUGCCUUCUUCUCUUCUAUUCACAUUUACGGUUUGCCCCUUUUGUACGACAUCAUCCAUUCACAUUCUUGAGUACGCCUGUCACUGGUUAUUUUCCGCUCAUCAUUGCCUCGUCAGAGUCUAGUCGUCUUGCUUGGCUGACUUCACGUUCAUGGUCCCUCUAUUCGUCACUUCAUUUUGUUUCCCUUUGUUCAUGCAUUUUUGGUACACCCUUUGUUCGUCUUAUAUAAAUCCUAAUUAUCAAUUUACAUUUUUGUCAUGUUGAUCAUAUAUAUAUAUAGGAGGGGAUCCACUUCCUCCAAGAGUAACUCUUUUAGAUUUACUCCUCAUCCUCACCAUUUAUUUUCUUAAGAUCUAGUGGUUGUAAUAAGUAACUAAUCUUAAUCAUUAAAUCUCAAGAAAAUGAAUGAUGAGGAUGAAGAGUAACUCUAAAAGUUACUUUUGGAGUAAGUGGAUCCCUCCAUAUAUACACACACACAAACACAAACACACACACAUAUGCUGUGUCCCCAUGUCCUAUGUUUUAGAUUUUAGCUGUGUCCUGGUGUCUAUGUCAUGUUCUGUGCUUCAUAGUUUAAAAUAGCAUUGCUUUAGUGCCGGAGUAGAGUGGCCCCUGGCGGCUACAAGUGCCGCCAUAGUGAAGGGUUUCAGUGUAACAGCUGUAGCGGACCAAGAAGCAGCUGUAGCAGACAGGAUAGUGGUUCUGUGAGUUGUUUCCAGAAAAGCCCUUUGAAUAGAUAAUUAGGGCUUUUUUAGGGGGCUAUUCUUGGGAUUUCAAUUUCCAAAAUGAAAUGUACAGCCAUAAUAGUAGUGAAAAUGAUAAAGAAGAAGGCUUAGAUUUUAAAGAUGAUGAUUGAUGAUUCCUAUCUAAGAAACCUAGUAUUUGACCUUUGUUGAUAUUUAGUUGUAUGUUUUGCUUAAGAUCACUAUUAUGACUUUUUAUUGUUAAUUAUGAAUUACGAAUGCCAUGAUUUUUAGAGUAAUUUUUAUUUAUUUUUGGGAAUUUAUCUUAGUAUAGUGUAACAAUAGAAACUAUCGCACUCUAGCAUUUUUCAGGGAUAUAAAAAUAAAACAGUGCUUCUCCAUAGAAACCUAUAUUCACGUCAGCUUUUGGAGAAGUAAAACAAUAGAGCUUCAAUAAAAGUUAAUUGCACAGAAAUGGGGAAAAGAAACGAAGCAGAACCUGAAAGACCAAGAAAUUGCGAGCUUUGACGAGAAUGCCUAGGGACUUGAGUCUGUUGUUGUAGGUCUCCCAAUUGACGAGGGAUUCGUCGAUGCGGUACUCGCUGGCGCCGGCGCUGGUGAUGGUGCGGGUGAACUUGAUCUCGGUGGAGUUGGCGAGGUGGUAGACGAGGCGGACGAAGGCUCUGCGGCCUUUCUGCUCCUUCUCGCGGUCGUCGAAGGCGUAGAUGAGGUCCUUGAGCUGCGCGCCGCGGAGCUGGCCAGUGCGGACGCCGAGGACGAAGCUGAUGGCGUCCAUGAGAUUGGACUUGCCGGCGCCGUUGGGGCCGAUGAUGGCGGUGAAGUCGUAGAAGGGACCGAUCACUUGGAAGCCCUUGUAGGACUUGAAAUUCUCCACCUCGAGGCAGUGGAUUUUGCCCGGGGAGAGUAGCGACGGCAUCGUGAAGUUCGUGAAACCCUAGGUCGAAUCGAAGGUGCGGUUCCGGCGAGAGUGGAGUGAGGUUAGGGUUGGAAUUGAAUUGGGGAAAGGGAAAAUUGGCGGGAGAGGAAACCCUAAGAAAGAGUAGAGUGCGUCGUUAGUCGUUACGUAGCUAGAAGGGAAGAGAAUGACUCAAGCAAAUCCCACUCUUCUCAGGAAUCUUCGCCGCUUGCUCGCGUCAUCGUAGCUCUUUAGAUUUUUGCCUUAUGAUCGUUGAUGGCGGGAUUGAAAGUGGAUUUGAUAUAACAAAAACAAAUUAUUUUUGUUCUUACUCCACUCUACUUUUAAAAUCUUUUUUACUGUGUUACAUGAUUUAGUUCUCGCCGUUAGAUUGAACAACUAAAUGUUAACAUUAAAAAUGUCAUUUAUUUUUAUUUGAAUUAUUUAAUAGGAGUUCAUUUUUUUAUCACUAAAAUCCGUCAAAAAUUAUUACACUCUUUUCUGCAAUGGACUUGAGUAUACGAACUCCAAUACCAAUACAACAGUGACAACAUACAUCAAACACAACCCUCAUUUUUCUUUUCCUUUUUUCUCUCGUCUCGAUCUCUCAAGAACUAGACAAACCACGAUUUUUCUCUUUAACAUGCACAACAUGAGAAUCCAUUUUCCUAAUUUCUCUCAGAUAUGGAUUUGUCAAAUAUGAUUUUUUUAUCGCAGGUUGAAACUGAAAUCUAGAUUUGGAUUUGUCUAAUAUGGUUUUUUUUAUGUCAUUAUUAUUUUGGGUUUUGGGUGAUUGAUUCAAUUGAGAAGUUCUUUAAUGGGAUUGUUGCCUAAAUUGGGGCUAGGUUAUUCACAAAAGUAUUAGAUUGUAAGAGAGAAGUAAACUUUGGAGGUUUUAAACCGCAAAAAAUUGUUUAAUACUUUUUCUAAAAUGCCAUUCAAGUAAUUUCUAGCAGUUUAUAACCGCCAGAGAACACGACCAAUCCUGAUGGAGUAAGCCAUGGGUGUCCCAAACCAAGUCUCUAAUGAAAAGAGUAAUUGUCUUUAUUAAUAGUUAUAAAUAUCUAUCUAUCAUUAAAAAACAUUUUUUUGAGAAGAUGAAAAUCCACACAAGAUGCGUCUCAAGUAUACAAUAAUUUAUGACCACCAGGUACUUGAAAAUAUCCCAGAUCUAGUUACACUCGUACCUCCCAAUAAAACAAUAACAACCAUCCAUAUGCCCCAAAACAUAUCACUAAACCACCCCUACCACCUCCAUAAAAAAACAACCCUCUUACAAAUACACAUUCAUAGUGUUGGCUUCACCUCACAUAUGAUAAAAUACAUUCACUUUACCUCGGUCUCUGCAAAACACAUUGGAAAAAUUCAAAGCUUCAUACAUAUCCCAUCAUCCGUACAACACCCAGGACAUUACCUUCCAAAACCAAGCAGACAAUUUCCACGACCCCACUCCAAAGUCAGCCUCAAACUUACAAUCAAUUAUCCAUUGUAAUAUACAAUUAGUAUGCAUUUUUCUUCUCUUCCUCGUUUUUGUUUCCUUUUUCCCAUCUUGUCCAAAUUAUUGAAAGGACACAAUCCAGAUGUUGCUUGUAUUUGAGAGAAUCAAAUUGCAUGCAGAGGUAUCAUGAUCAAAAUCAUGCUUAAAAGAGUUACCAGUGUUAACCAAACUUUACGAUCCAUAAUUCAUUGCAUGAACUCAACAAUUCACAGUGUCCUCAAAUAAACAACCCAAAUUAACUUCCAUUGUGUGGGUGAAUAAAAAAACAAAUAAGUAAAGAGACAUUGGAACAUUGUCAUGUUCAAAGGAUUUUAGUUUAGGUCAAAAGUUUUUCCAAUGGAGAGUGAGAGAAAGGGGGGGAAGCAAAUAGGUUGAUUGAAUAGGCUGGUGGAUUUAAUUAUUAUGUUAGGGUCAAUACAAAAUUCAUUUCCACAUUCGUGAGCUUACUACUUAGCCUUUUUGCAGGAAACACAUAAUGCUAAACGGGAUAAUCGGUUAUAGUUUGAAGGAUAUCACAAAAGUUCAAAGUCCCAUAUUAUUUAGAAUAACUCCCAUAUUAUUUAGAAUAACUUUGGCCAUGUAUUUUUCUUUCUUUUAUUGAUGCCAAAAAUUAUAAUUUUUGAAACAAAUACUAUAGUUUUAAAACCAUGACAAAUCGUAUUUUAAAAAAAUUAGUGCACAUAAAAUCAGAAAGGGGUAUAUGUAUAAAAAGUUAUAUUAAAAAUGUUUUUAUGCUUGAUUUGAAAAAAGUUAUAUUAAAAAUGUUUUUAUGCUUGAUUUGAAAAAAGUUCAUGUAACAACACAAAGAACAAAGUAUUUAAAAGACAAGCAUACCAUCAUCUUUCAUCUUUCUCUUAUUCCUUGUCCAUUACCUGCAGGUCCCAAUAACCAUAUCAUGUCAUAUGUUUCAAAUUCAAAUUAUCUAUUAGUUAUAAUAAUCUUAUCAUGUAUUUCAAAUGUAUAUUAUCAACUAGUUAGCUUGUAUGUAUUUUAUAUUCUGAGUCCUAAUAAAAUAUAAUAAUAAUGUAAAUUAUAUUAAGAUAAUUAAUAUUAAAAAAUAUAUUUUAGUAAAUUUUAUAUUAUUGUAUUUGUGUUGUCAUUGUUAAUCAAACAAUGCACAUGAUAAAAAAAAUCGUCUAAUAAUUCUAGUAUUUGUCCUAUGUUGUUCUCGUUGUUCUAUUACAUUUUUAAUGUCUUAAAUUUGAUAUAUAUUAAUGUAUAAAUGUAGUUAUAUAUAACAUGUUGAAUAAAAUUUUAUAUAAUAUGUAUAUGCAGAAAAUAAACAUUGAUAUAUUGCAUAAAUUAAUUUUAUAUAAUACAAAAUGCAUUCGACAAAGGUAUAUGUAUUUUUAUUGUGUUAAAGUAUUAUUAUAAUUGUUAUAUAUGUGAGUGGUUGUACCAUACAUUUUUAAUAAAUAUAAACUAAAAUUAAUAUACAUGUCAUAUUAUAAAUUAAAAAAUUAUAAUUUAGUCUAAAAAAAUUAUAAUUUAGUCUAAAAAAAUUAUAAUUUCUCUUAUAAGGAUGACACGCUAGAUUAAGAGAUAGUAUACAAUUUAGAUAAGAGCAAAAAUUAAAAAAAAAACAAAAAAAUUGGGAGCUUAAUUAACUAAUUGCUAGAUUUUUAAAUCCAAAAAUAUUAUUAUUUUAAGUGAGAGAAUGUCUAAUUAACAAAUAUUUAGGGCUAACUUAGGCAUAAUAAAUGUUGAAUAUAAGGAUAAUUUGAACAUGGCGAUAUCUCUUUAACUAUUUAAUCCUAUAUUCUUUAAUUAUUUAAAACAUAAAAAAAAUUGAUUUUUUUCAUGGAAAUUUAUGCACAAUGAUAUUUUCUAAUGUUUAUUUUAUGUUAUAUUAGUUGACAUUUACUGUUAAAAUAAUUGCUUUAUAUUUGUUAACUGUUUGAUAAGUUAUUUCUUCAUAUGUUUAAUGAUGAAUAAUAAACCACUAUUAUGUAAAAACUGUUUUUUUUCAUAAAAAAAAAUUCAAACCACCCCACUAAUAUGUUUUUGGCUUUUUUAAAAAAAAUAAACGACUAUUAUUUAAAAAUUGACAUUUUUUAAUUUUAAAAUUCUAAACUACUAUUAUUUAAAAACUUUCAUUUUUUAUUUUAAAAGUUCAAACUACUAUUUGAAAACAUCUAUUUUUUAAAAAUUUUAAAACGCCAAACUAUUUAAUAUUUUUUUGAAUUUUUAUAUUUUAGACUAUCCCACUACUCUCUUCAUUUCUUAAAUGAACCACUAUUAUUUUAAAAUUGUCAAAUUUUUUGAAUUUUAAAAUUCUAAUAUACUAUUAUUUAAAAAAAAAGUAUUUUUUAAAAUUUAAAUUUUCGACGUAUCACUACUAUUUUCUUGCUUGAAUAGAAACCUUUCAUGUAUAUUUCAUUGAAAACCCUAUGUCAGUAACAACACACGAUGAAGUACAAGAUUAUGUUUUCCAUUACGAAUAUAUACUGAGACAAAAGAACAUGGAAUUAUUAAAUCUUUUAAAGCUGCCUUUUAUGUACUUUGUUCUAAGGGUAAUGGACAAUUGGAGGCUAUGAAGAGAAGAAAUUUACACGUGGUUGAUAAAAUUAGAGCAGGACAUUGCUAGAAGUAUACAUAAAAUUAGAAAUAAAAUAAAUAUUAAUAGUCAAGUUUUGCUUCUCUCAAUAAAUAUCAUAGCAAAUAAAAUAUAAAUAUUGUAGGUUAGACAUGGAAGAUUAAUAGUCUCAAAUAUGGUUUUGCUUCAACCAUAUUUUCUUGGUUGGACUUAGAUGUAUUGUUCCACUAAUGUAUUUCAAAAAAAUAGUAAUUAAUAAUGUAUACAAUAUACAUACGCCAAUAAUACUGAAAUAUAUUGAAUAAUACCUUGUGCAUUUUCAUUUCUUUCACCUAAUCACUCACACUUGUUCUAUUCUGUUUGAUGCCUUGUAGGAGAGUGAUAUAUGAAUGCAAGAAUUUUGUUCGUGUUUGACUGUCUGUUUUGUGCAAUCUCGAAGGCCAUGUGAAAUUACUAUCUUCCCACAAAGACUUCCUGAUUGGAAUAAUGAUGGUGUUGCAAUGUGGUCAGAGAAAGGGAUAUAACAUGAGAGCAAGAACAUGAAGGACCGAUUAAGAGAAAGUGUGCACUUACUUACUUGUUAUAGUAGCCACCCUUCAACUUGCUAUGUAACCAUUAAUCAAUGGCUCAUAAUGUAAGAGAAAAUAUAAAAAAUAAAUAAAAAAUCACUAAACAUUAUUAAAUUGAUAUGUGCAAUGAAUUGGAAUCACAUAUAGUUGCUAAAAGCGCAUGUGUCCUUCACUAAUUUGAAAAUGUUUUCCUUCAAUGAGUUAAAUUCUGCUUGAAAGUGUUGUAGAUUGAGAAAGAUAUAUAACAAUAUAGAAAUAAAGUUGUGCACUGAGAUAAUUGAGAGAGAGAGAGAGAAAGAAAGAGAAAUGGAAAUAAAAAAUUGGUGAUAGGAGAUUCAUUGGUUAAUUAUAAUUGUGGGCAGGUCAAAGAUUAAAAAAACAUAAGAAGAAGAAGAAAUUAAUUGUUAUCUUUGUAAUUCGUAGUGAAAGGGAAAAUGUUUCUCAAAAAAAGUGGGAAAAAAAUAGUAGAAAUUUUUAGAUUUGUAUAAUUAUUUUUUAUUUAUUAAGGGCAUAAUAGUCUUAUAAAAAGAGAGAUAAAAAAAGUGGUUACCAACAUCAAUAUUUCCUUUAUUUAUUGUUAUGUUAAUAUAAAAUUGUGUAAAAUUAGUUAUGGUUGUUAUUUUAUUGUAAUGAUUAAAGCAAUAAUUAGUAUAAAAUUGUGUAAAAUUAAUUAUGUGUUUGUUAUUUUCAUAAUAAUAAAUAAGAUUAUUAUUAUUUAAUAUAAAAAUUAGUUUCAAUGUGUAAAAAAAUUAAACAUUUAAACAAUUAUAAAGAAGAAAAAACUACAGUCCGUUUUCAUAAGGUUUCUAAAUCCGUCCUUUAUAUAUAUAUAUAUAUAUAUAUAUAUAUAUAUAUAUAUAUAUAUAUAUAUAUAUAUCCAAAGUUUUAGCCAAGAGGAAAGAAUUCUUUUAGGUUUCCAAAAGUUUUGGCUAAAACUUGGGGAGACUAUAGAUUAUCACUUCUUCACAUACAACAGUUAAAAUUUAAACCUAAAAAAAAUGCUCAUUUUUUUUUAUCCACGCUUCUUGAAAUUAAGAAAAAAAAAUAUUUCAUUUUCUUAUAAAUUCAAUAUUGUUUCUUUUAGAAGUCAUACUUUUUUUAUUUGUAAAAAUUGAACAUGAUACUAAAAGAUUUACAACACUCAUACAUUCUGUUCAAUCAACUAACUCAAAUAAACCCCACAUGUUUAUUAUUAAUUAUUUUUUCAUUUUUAAAUUUAAAUUGCUUUGAAUUAGUUAUGCAUAUAUAUAUAUAUAUAUAUAUAUAUAUAUAUAUAUAUAUAUAUAUAUAUAUAUGCAAUCAGUACUAUGAUGCACAUAAUGCUAGAUGUUCCAAUAAGGGGAGAAAGGAAAUCUAAACUUCAAGAAAGGGGAGAUGAUCCUUCUCAAGUUUUAGAGCGCAUCAACUAUAAUGCAUAUAAGAUUUGAUUUAUCACCAGAACUAUGGUGUGAGCAACACAUUUAAUGUUCCUGGCUUCUCUUUGUGAUAUUGGUACCUUUGACAUCUAUUGUAGGGCUAAUUCUUCCUUCCCAAGCAAAGAAGGGAAUGAUAGAGGACUAUCCCAGGAAGAAAAAUUUGGCUUGGAUUGACUCAACUAGAUAGAAGAAGAAAUAAAGAGUAAAAGAAACAAAGCUCAUAAAUUUUAGUCAAACUUUUAGGAUAAGAUUUAUUUUCGUUUUUAACGACAAUUUGGACUUAUUUUUGGACUUGUAAUGGGCUACUACCUUUUAUUGUUAUUUUUAAGUCUUUUAAUUAUCAUAUUAGUUAUUGGGCCCUAGGGCUUACUUUAGGGUUAUUAGUAGGAGUUACAAAUAUACUUCUUAAACACUUUGUUAAGAGUUUUUUUUUAAUGAAAUUUCAUACUAAACAUCGUCAAAAUAGUGGCUCUCUUGAUUCUUGUGUAAAAUCUUAGUUUCUUAUCAAAGAAUUUUAUUUUGUGGCGAAUUAUCCUCAACUUAUCAAUCUUUCAAGAUUGUGGUAUUGUUCUUUCCAUCUUCUUUUCUAAUUCUGUUUUUUUUCUUUUUAUUUUCUCCAAUUUCAAAGAGUCUCAAAUAGAUUCUCAAAUUUGUUGAUGCUAAAAAUUAGAUCCGAAAAUUAGGGUUUCAUCAACGCUAAUCCUUACAAAUGUAAAAAAAAAAAAAAUAGCAUUGAUGCUUGAUUCUUAAAUUUAAUGGGCACGAUUUUUUAUUAAGGAAAAAAGAAUAUAAAUAUCUAGGAUGGAGACGACCUAAAUGUGGGAAUAUUGUUUAUAAUAAUGCAAAAUGUUAACCAAGAAUUUAUUUUAAUCAUGUGUAUAAAAAAGACUUUAUUAAAAAAAUGUUAUAUUUAUUUUAUUGAUUCUACAUCUUAAAAAGAUUAAUUUCAUAAUAAAAAGCAUUACCCCUUAUCCUUUCAGGAUGAAAAGGGGGUACUGUUUGAGUUUUAUGGGUGCAAGAAACUACUAUAGUGGCUGUGGUUGGGCCAUUGCCCUUGCUGGUUUUUUUUAUUUGCACCGAUGACAAAAAAAAAGUCACACGACAAGUUUGCCCCUAAAAUAUUACAUAUUCCCGAGAACAUCCCUUAUCAAACAAAAGAACCUACGAAUCGCAUGAAAAGCGGCAUUGAGUGAGAGUGCUCCCUCUCCUCUCUUCUCUUCUGUUCAAACAAUGUCGCAAACGUUGCAUGCUUUCGUCGCCAAAAAUCUUGGUUAGUGUCUCACUUCUCUCUGCUUCAUUUGUUUAGCUUAAUUUACAAAUUAAACACUAGGGUGUUUUCAAUACGCGUUUCAAGUGACAUAAAUUUUUGUCCUUUUUCAAUGAAAUUCGUAGCCUUAUGAAUUUACGAUUGAAAGCUUCUUACCCUGUGACUGUUUUCUUCUUUUUGUUGCUGUUCUGUAUUUAAUGAUUUCUUAACCCCCAUCAUGUGUGUUGUUACUUGUGUUUCUAAUCUAUUGGCGUGGCUAUUAAGGGCUUUUGAGGCUUCAUCCUUUUGGGGAAAAUGAUAUUUUGAGUUUGGGUUUAUGAUAGAAUGUUGUUUGCGUUGCUGGUUUUGAAACUGGCUCAUAUUGCCCACUAUCUAUUUGUUGAACAGUAAUGUUAUAUCUACACCAGGAUUUCUCUUGGUAAUUGAGAUGUUAAUGAACAUAAACCAUUAGGCAAACGAUAAACGAGGGGAACUAUUGAACUAAUAAUUUACAUAUAAGUAACCAUGUGUAGAUCCCUUUGGUCUCAAAUAUAAGUAACAAAAACCUCUUAUAUUUUGUUUCAAAUAUAAACAAAUCUCAACUAAAGAAGUCUUAUUUAAUGAGACUAUCUUCAAAAUACUCUUCUUUUAAUAAGACCAAAAACUUUUUUUUUUUAUGUUUGAUAUCAAAUUCCAAUGGGGGUACUUUAGGGGAAAAAUUGUUUUUUAAUUGGGAAUGACACAAUUUAACGAAGUUAAAUAAUUUCCUUAACAAGUGUGAAACAUGUCUUCUUUUUCUUCUUAUAAUCAAGACCGGAGGGAGUAUAAUAUUACUACUUGUUCAAAUGAUCAUUGUGAGUGGUAACUGGUAAGCCGUGGCAAUUGUUCACUUCUGUUAUUAAUGGAAGUGCUCUUUCUCCAGUGUAGGAUUUUCAUCUUAAGUACUUGACUACCUUAUUUAUUUUGUUUUUAGUUGAGUGGGGGGUGGGGGUCAGGAAGGGCUUAUGACUUGUUAAUGGGCUUCUUGGUAUAGUAUGUCAAAAUAAGCUCUUUUUAGUUUAUUUCAAUAAAUUUCAUGGCCAAAUUUAUAAGUUAUCAUGUAAUAAGAGCUUAUUGAAUAAGUGCUUAACUAAAUUGUUUACCCAUACAACCCUUUGUCCAUGCAAUGUUUUCUUUCCUGAAUGUCCUAUUUGUCCUGCAUUUUGCAGUUGUUGAUAGUUUUUAUAGUAUACAUCAUUUUCCAUCAUGGUUAUCAACAUUCUUUUUGCGAAAGUAAACAAUCAAAGUGCAGUAAUGAAAAUGUUAGUCUUCAUUGACAGUAGAGAACAAGCUUCAUGUUGUUGAUGACUCUUUGAGGGGCACUCACCAAAGUUAACAUCUGCCUCUCCCUUUUUCUUGGAUGAUUGAACCAAUGUGGAUUUGCAUGUUUUAUCUGCAAGCUGCUUGUAGAAUAGUGUUAAGCCAUAAUGAUUGUAUCAUGAUUAGUUUGUUUCUAAGCUGGCUUUUCUAGAGUUGGCUCCAUGUUAAUAUUCAGAGCUUGAGUACUUGGUGUGUUAUCAUGGGUUUAUUUGGCUUCAGACCAUGUUUUGUGUCAUUUUGCCCUUUAAUUUUUUUUAGGAGUGUUAGGAACAUACUCUCUAACUCAGUCUUUGCUUCUGGUUAGAAUUUAUUGGAAAUUACAAAAUCAAGAUUUAAGAGCAUCACAAAAUUUUGUGUUUUUCAAUAAAUUCAAAGCAAUAGGAGUGUGUUAGAGAGUGUGUUCCUCUAUUUUUUUUCUUCCUGUUCUCAUACUUCUAUAUGUGGUGUCAAAUUAUUUUGGUGUUAUUGAAGGCUGUGGAAUGGCAGAAGGCAAGUGUCUCCCAUGUUCAGGUGUUUCUGGAAGAACUGCUGCUGUAUAUUCCUACUCUUCUCUAGGUCAUCACAGAAUUCAUUCCCGUGUCCAAGUUAGAGGACUAAAGUGUGGCUUUAGGGGUGCAUCUUUUGUAUGUGAAGCAAAGAGGAACCCAGAUUUCUCAAGGCAAAACAAGCACGGGUCCUCCAGAAGCAGAAAUCGGAACAGUGAUGGGAGAGACAGCUUUGAGAGCUUUGACGACGAUAUGUUUUCAUUAAAAAAUGGACCGCCUGUGUCUCUUUCAACCUCAGGAAAAUUCCAGGCCACUUCAGCCCCUGGUCCUAGGGAGAAGGAGAUUGUUGAGCUAUUUAGGAAGGUCCAGGCUCGGCUGCGUGAGAGGGCUGCUUCCAAAGAAGAAAAGAAAGUUGAAGCCUCCCGAGCGCAAAGUAAAGAGAACAGUACUGUAGAUUCGCUCCUCAAACUACUGAAGAAACACUCAGUUGAGCAAGUGAAGAGAAGUAGUGGGGGAGGCAGAGGAAAAGAUUUUAGUUCGGACCAAAUGCAAGAAAGUAACCAAUAUGAUGGAGGACGAAAUGCUAAAAUUUCUGAUUUGGAUAGUACUCCUAAGGAUGAGCCCCAAGAGGACAAUGUCUUCUCCUCCUCGGUAGCCAGGCCUCGGUCAAAUUUCCAAAGAAGGUCUCCCGUUCCUCGUGUAAAAUACCAGCCUGUCUCUAACGAUGAGGAUGAUACGGAUGUAGUGCCAGUAGGUAGUGAGGAUACAGAGAACAAUCAGGAUCAGAUAGAUUUGAAGCUUGAUGAUGAAGCCGAGUCUGACUCUGAAUCUGAUGUUGAUUCAAAGGAUGAGCUGUUCUUCCCAAACAUAGGGAUGGCUGAAUUGUCUGAGGAUGAUGACUCCGAGCAAACCUAUAAUGAUGAAAGUGUGGAGGAGCAGCCGGUGGCUCAACAUGAGGAUUUUAGUGCACUGAAGCUGUCCGAAUUGAGGGCACUUGCAAAGACUCGUGGCCUGAAAGGAUUCUCAAAAAUGAAGAAGAGUGACCUCAUGGAGUUGCUAACUGAGACCUGAUUCUGAUGGAUGAUAUACGAGAAGAAAAAGGGUCAAAACAACACAUGCCAUAGUAACAGAUUUUUUUUCUUUUCUUGUUUUUGACUUGACAUUCUAUCUGAUGUUUCUUUGUGUUUUUUUUUUUUUUUGCCACUCUAAUAUAAUUUUUCCAAGUACUUGAGGUUGAGAUUUUGUGGAACAUUAGAGUAAUCAUGAUAUCUUUGCCUCGGAGAAUUUUUAAAUUUGUAGUUAUAUUCCCGGGAUGAUAUCUUGUAGCUUUUGGUUAUUGAGAGAUUACAUCAUUGUCCUAGUAUUUUGUUUAUCUCCGUUAUUCUUUUGUUGAUGAAAUUUUUGGUGGUCAUUCAUAUAAUGCAUGUUCAAGCAUAAAGUCAGAAGAAAUAUCCAUCAUGGUUUUAGGUUAUGAAUGUACACCUCAAACCUUGUUAAGAACUUUGGUCAAGGUGGCUCAAAAAGUGUCUUGGCCCAUGUUAGUUUAUUUCUUAAUGAUUUUGUUCACAGCAAGCACAUGGUUUGAGCCUUUGAGGCAUCAGGCAUGAUUACCAAAUACCAAAAGCCGAAGAAAGCAUCUACUUUGCCUAAAUGGCCGUUUGGAAUCUUAGUUACACGCAGAAACAAACAAGUCAUUAGUCUGUUGUCGUUUUGGACCUUAUUUCUUGUAGUUUUUAGUGAAAGAAUUAUGCUUUCUUUUGCUUAGUUUGCAGGAUGGGCUAUGAUUCUCUUUUCUUUCUUUCUUUUUUUUGUGACAAAUAUUAAUUGUUAGUUUUGUUUGAAUGUUAAUGAAAGAGAUUCAAACUCAAUCAACAAUUUUUUCCUCUUCUCUUCUCCCUUCAAUCAUCAUAUCAAUUUUAUAUCUCUUAUAUGAUUGUCCCUUAAUUGGUUUGCAAUUUUGAUUGGAUUAAUUUUUAGAUCUAAACCUUGUUGAGUGUAAUUCGGAUUUAACUAAUUAGUGAUUAGUUGAUUAGGGUUAUGAGUGGUUUCCAAUAGUUAUAAAUAUAUGUACAGAUAUUCUAAUUCUAUCAUGUUCUAAUUCUAUCAUAAAAUGAGUAAAGAAGAAUAAGUACGCUACAUAUAUUUUUUUUCUUCUUUAUUUUCUCUCUCUCUCUAGCGUGCUAUCAAACUAGUCUCUAAACUCAAAGAAAUCAAUGCUGUGAGUUUAAUUUAUACCAAAUUUAAGUUGAUGGGAUCAAGUAAAUUAAUAUAAAUUAAAACAGGGUUGAGUGUAGCUUCUCACAAGGUGAUAAAUCAAAUUCAAAUUUUUGUUAAGAGAAUGGUCCAUGUUUAAUAUCCAAUCAUGUUUCCUAUAAGAUUGUCUUUAAAGAAAUAUAUUUAUAGAAAACCAAGAGAAAUAAAUAAUGCAAACUUUUCCCCUCCAAAAAAAUAAUACAAAUUUUUGUUGUGGUUUUGAGGGGAGGGGGUUUGGGAUUUAUUAUAGGAUGAACUGAUAAUUAUUAACCUAUUAAAUUAAUGAGAAUCGUAUAUUAUGUACAGAUCAGGUGGAGCGACAGAAUUGAAUUAGAUCCAUCUUGAAUUAAUAUUGGGACAUGAUUUGAGACAUUUAAAAGAUUUUUUUUUUUGUUUGAAGAAUAUUAUAUGGUCAGAAAGCAGACUUGGCAUGCAGUACUUACGUUCAAAUUGGGCAAAAGUACAGGGGUCAAAUUUUAACUAUUAAUUAUAACCUCAAAUUGUUAUUAAAUGUUAUCAAAAAACUCAACGUGUAAUUUCUUGAAUUAAUAAAAUAAUUUUGUCAAACAUUCUUAGUUAUAUAUACGUGUAUGUGUAAUCUUUCUUAAGAAAAUGAGAUCACUUAAGCAUUGGACUUGCCUAUCCAUCGAGCUAGCUAUGGAUUUUAGGAGAAUUCUUUGGUUUUGUUAGCUAUACAUGACCAAACAACUUAUUACAUUGUCGGCAGCAUCUUAUUAUUAUUAUUAUUAUUUUUAAGGAGACAACAAGUAGUUCAAUUUAAGUACAUCUCCAAAAGUGGACUCAAUCUCAAAGACAAGAUCCCAAAAGUGGUCGAGUUGAAUGUUUUUAAGUGUAAAAAGGCUGAACUUGCUACUCAAGCGAGUAAGUAGACCUAACAGUAUAAUUACUCUCAAAUUAUUUAUUAAAUAAAAAAUAAUUACAUCCUUUAAAUUAAAUUAUAUAUAUAUAUUCCUCAAACUAUGAUGAUGUAUAUUGUGUAUUAAAUUAAAAACAAACAUUACAGAUAAGUUUAAUUCACGUAACCUUUUCUUCUGAAAUAAAAUUGAUUCUUGAAAUUGUAAUAACCAUCGAACAUUUUAAUUCCUGAUUUUAUAGAACUAUAAUUUUAAAUUCACUUUAGUCACAUUUAAAAAAAGCAAUUCAAAACAUUAUAACGAAUGGUAUUCUACAAAAUUAAAGAUUAAAAUAGCCCAAUCUCACAUACCAAGAAUAGAAAUUAAUAUACUUUUUCUCUUGCAAGGUAGGGUGGGAUGAACAUGCCCAUUUCAUUGAUGUGAUGACUUGUUUAUAGGCCCAUAAUGAUUAUUAUCCAAGUCUGAAACACAGUACCAUAAUUAUAGUUUGGACUGGAGCCCACAAUUCAACUCCAACUUUCCUUUCCUUUUCUUUGGAAACAGCAGCACGUGCAUGCUUUCUGCUUGCUUCCAAAAGCAGCUUCCGUCAGAAAAUAAAAAGUGAGAAUAUUUAAAAUUUCACAUGUUGAGUGACCCCAAACCAUAAAAUUUUAGCUAUCUAUGAGACUUGUGGAUUUUGGGUUGCUGAUUUUGUGACUAAUGUGUGCUUUUUUCUAUCCAAAUUUAAUCCAUCACAUGGUGAAAAGGAGAAGGGGAAAUGAAUCCUUUUUAUGAUCUACUACUAUACUACAAACCAUGACGUAUACGGCAAACAUGAUAGGUAAUUAAUUAGCAAUUCAUGACAUUAAUGUUAAGAUCUUAGUCAGCAUAAUCACGGUUGACUUGUGAGUUUUUAGGGUGAAUGAGAGUUGUGCUUGAAUGAAGAUUAGGAUUAGAUUAAACACUUCUUCAUUGGAUCCAAAUUUGUUAGCUUCUUCUCACCUAAAAAACAAAACUGAAUUUAUGAGGGUUUUUUUCUAUAGGGGAAGUAGGUAGGGACUUUUUCGUGCAACUUUAUGAGAGUGAUAUACAGCUCAAUAUAUAUAAGCAAAUGGAUAGAGCAGUACAAUGAAUCGUAAUUAUUAUUGGAGAAAUGAUUAUUAAACAUUAUGUGAGUAAGGAAUAAAAACUUUUAAAGAUUUAGUUCUUACGAAUCUCGAAUGUGAAUUUUUACACUUAACAAUAUAUAUAUUUUUUAAAUAUUCCCUUGUACAUGCUAGAGCAUGGGAAAGAUUAAUUUUAAGGAUUUUAGCUUUUUGGGGGAAAAAAAGUUGUAUGUAAAAUAAUCCUGUACUAUAAAUUCAAUAAAUGUGAUACACUCUUAUUAAGUCGUUUUAGAGACAAGCUCGCUUAAAUAAAACAUAUUUUAUACUAGUAUGCAUUGCCUUAAAGUGUCUUAAUCAUUUAAUCUAUUUCUUAAUUGAAAAAGAUAUGUUUCACUUGUUAACAUUUUUUAAUUUAAAAUUGAAAAUGAUAACGUAUAAUUUAUUUUUGUUGCACUUUUUCGUUUUUCUCCUGAAAAUUUGGAUUUUUCGUAUAUUAGAAUAGGAUGAUGACGAUAACAAGAAUAAUUUAUGUUAAGUUACAACAUUUUAUAGCAUAACUUUCUCAUAAAUAUGAAUAUGGAUAUUUUCUUAUCAUCCGGAUAUAUAUAUAAAAGUCUGACAUAAAUAAGUUAUAAUCUUAUUGUUAUCUAGCCAAAUUAAUGUUGUAAAAUGUAUAUUAACAAUAAGGUAAGUAUCAAGUUCCAUUAUUAUUAGUAAUUUGUGAGUCAACUCUAAGGUCUUCACUAUUAUUCAUUUUAAAUUUUCUGAAUAUUUUAAUCACAGAGCAUACCUAUAGAAAAACAUUGACAGAAAGGAAAUAUAUAUAUAGAGAGAGAGAAUAAAUAAUCAGUUGAUGUGUGAUAAAUGAUACUAGAAAGAAAAUAGCAAGGAUGGAAAAAAGAUAAAACUAAAAGUAAAUAUAUAGAUAUGGUUUUUUAUAAGGCAUAUAUAUAAAUAUGGUUAGACUAGCCUAUAUAAUGAGUGCAGUGCUUGCCCACUUUCUUGAUAAUAAAUGAGUAAACCAAGGAAAGUGGAAACCAAGAGUUGCCCAAUUCUUGUUGUGUUUUUUUAUUAAGACACACAGGUGGCUAGAUGAUGAAACAAGCAUGUUACUCAAGUUUCAAAGCUGACAUUUACACAGAGGAUAUGCUAUAUUACUCAUAUAAAGUUAAUUAAAUAAACAGAUUUCACACUCUAUUUAAUAAUUUUCACGUAUUAUUUAUUAAGAUUUUGUAAAUUAUAUUUUCUUCCUCCUAAAUUAAAUGUGGUCUUAAAUUAUUUUGCACAGAUAAAAAAGUUAAUAAAUAAUAGAUGAACAAGAAUAAUAAUUUUAUAAAAUUAAUUUUAUUAAAUAGAUGAAAGAUAAUAAUAAUAAUCUUACAUUGAAACUAAAGUGACACGUAUUAGUUAUUAGGAAUAUUAUUAAAAAAAUUAAUAUUAUAUUAAAAAUUUAAUAUAACAUUUUUUUUAAAUUUUUUUAUUUAAAUAUGUUAGUUAGCAAAAAUGUGUUAAAUAACUUAUUAUUGACAUUUUUCACAUAACGUAUUGAACUAAACAUUACAUUGUGAUUCAGUUUUUCCCAUAGCAUAGUUAAGAAAGUGGGUAACAUUGGCCAAUCAAUGGUAUUUAUCUUUUAGCAUAAUUUGGUUUGAAGCAUGAGCAAUUUUGAGAAUCAUUUUAAAGUAACCGAUGGUACAAUGACACCCAUCUUUAACUCCUCCAUGUUUGUAGAGAAAAAGAUGAACCUGUCGAAAAUGUCACGGAAUAUUAUCGGCUCACAUGUUUGCCACAAAAUGUCACAGUUAAAUGGUCUCAAUUUGAACACGAGGUGUUGGAUCCCUAUUGGCUGGGAUCUAAAAGCAAGCUUGUUUUUUGGUUGAAAAAAACACUCCUUUAAAGUGAGGAAGUUUCUCAACUCAAAUGCAUGCAUAUAUAUAUAUACAUUAUUAUUGAAGUACUUCUUAAAUUUAUGUCACUUUAAUUUAAGAAGGGAUAUGUAAAACCUUUUUUCACUUUAGAGGAAACUGUUGGUACCAUUUAAUAGCCCACAAAGAUUGCUUGAAGGACUCAAUAAUAUUAAUGAACUUUAGUUGUUUAUUCAAUCCUUAAUGCACUAUUCAAUUUGAAAGUUGAAUCCAAAGAAAAUGGGAAAAAGAACUCAACUUACAAUGGUUUUACUGCUAUCACAUGGCUCCACUAGAAAGAAAAGUUACCAGUUUGCUUUAGCUAACUAAUUUGGUUGUAUCAUAGUCCAAUAGUACCCAAAUGGAGUUGUUAUUUUGUCUCCAUCAGCAUACUAUCCAUAUCUAUAUAUGAAAAAGGUUGGUUGUAUAUAAGACCUUAGUUUUUUUUGUGGCUUUUUAGUUUCUUUUUCUGCAAUCUUAAAGUGAACUUUUAAGUUUUAACCAUCUUUUUUUUGUGUGUGUGUGGACGAGAAAAUUGAUUCCUUUUUAAAUUUGUCAAUGUCAAGGGGUCAGUGCUAACGGAUACUGAGAUUUAUUGAACAACAUUUUACAGAUGAAGUUAAUUAAUUAAUUAGUUUGACCAAGCUUGAUAAUUAAUUAUGAAAAAGUGGAAAUUUUGUCAAUCAUUUGAUUGAAGUUGGUUGGUUUUAGGUAGUCCAGAGUCCACAAUCUACUAAAAACAAAGACACUCAUUUAAUUGUGGCUUGGAAUCUUGACCGUAGUUUUAGACUUGGAAUCACCAGUUUCAGUAUGGAUGCAUGUUUUUGAGAACGAUCUACAUCAAAUUAAAAAAUAAUCUGUAAAAUGAAUAAUUUAUAUUUAUACGCAUAACAAUAAUCAAUUCGGAAUUUCACUUGCUAAUACAAAUAGAUGAAAGCUACUCCAUAAAAAACUAUAAUAUAUGUUCACAAAAAAAAACUAUACUAUAUAAUUGUAUUUCAAAAUUAUAAGUUGUCCUUUUAAUUCCAUGCUUAAGUUUUGAUGAUGAAACACGAGCAUUAAAGGUUCAUCAUAGUAGCAAAAAAUUUAUAAUACGAAAUUUUAGUUUCAGCAUGUGCCCUUUUUUUUUUUUUUUUGAGAGAUUUCCAAUAUGCGCUUUUGAUAUUAUUUAAUUUUUAUUUAUUUACCUUUAAUAAUUACGUCAGUUGUUUCUUGCAAAAUCUAAUUACUUUCAUGACCAAAUUAAUUUUUAAAAAUUUAAUUUUCUUAUUUAAAUGUAUUUAUUAAUAUACUUAUUUGAAUUAAUUUUACAUAUUUUUUUUAAUUUUAAAAUUUAUAUUCUCAAAAUUUGUCGAAAUUUAAUAAUAUUAUGCAGUAGGAAAAACACUAUGUACACUAGUGUUAAAGAAAACAUCAACAUAUCUUUCUUAUCUUCCACGUCCCUCAUGAUGAGAGGUGGAUAUAUAAAUUGAACUAAUGUAUGUAUUUUAUAGCUUUUUUUUUACGGUAUGUAUUUUAUAACUUAAUUAAACGCAUAAAGUAUUAUUUUCUCCUCGAACAAUAAUUUCUCUUACCUUUUCAACGCAACUGUCCAAAUAUGCGAGACAGCGUAUCAUAUAGUGCAAGUACUUGAGAUUUGCCACAUUUUCCACUUUUGCUAAAUGAAAAAAAUAUGUGUGGCAAAAAGAGGGAUUUUGUUUGGGCAGAAAAUGCAUUGUAGUCCACUUAUCCUUCUUCAUCCAGGAAAAAUAAAAAACCGAGAUUCCAAAUUUUCAUACUGAAUUUGAGGUAGAAAAUAGUAUGCAGAUAUGGAAUAUUGUAACAUUUUUCAGCCAGAAAAAUAAAAGUAAUGAAGAAAAAAGAAUACUAUAUUAAUUAUUAUUAUUAUUAUUAUUAUUAAACCAUGAAGGAUAAGAAUGUCCUAAAAAGAAAAUAUCAACAAGAAAGAGGAAUUAUCACUCAAUAUUAAUAAAGGGUAACAAUACUACACAUUAUCUAAUAGUACCUUUCUAUACAAAUUUUGUUUGUUAGAUAAAAAUUAUGUAGGUCUUAUUAAUAGACAUGUGUCUUACUUUUUAUUUGGUAAAUUCUUUUUUCAAACCAGUGAAAUUCAUAUAAAUUUAAUUAAUAACAAUAUGUUAAAAACAAAAUAUUGGAAAAUUUCUAACUAAUACUCCUGUAAAUCAAUAAUAAUCGUGCAUACUUGACUUGGCAUAUUCACAUAUAAAAAGUAUUUCUUUUUAUUAAAAAAAUCUUGAUUUUGUGUUAUGUUUGUCCUCAAAUAUGUUAUUAUAAAACAAAACGUCUAAUCUGUAACAUGCUAUUACAUCUCAAAUCUUGUUUUAUCUCAGCACUGUUCAUUAGUAGUAUUUUCUUAAUUAAAAUUUGCCACGAAACACAAGAAAAAAAUUGCAACCGUAUCCGUAUGGCACAUUAUGGACCCACCAAUUAACCCAUUUUUAUGUUUUUUUUCCCCUUAAAUUAUUAUUAUUAUUAUUAUUAUUAUUAUUUUCCUAAGAAAAUUUCCCUUGUUGUUGGACCCUCUCCUUUCCCCCAGGCUUUCAGACAGCUUUGUUGGGAGAGAAAAUAAAAUGCAGGGACGAAUGAAUGAAUGGAGGAAGAUGAUGGCCUUCAACGACAACCAUUGAAAUUCUAAAAUCACAUGUUUUUUUUUGGAACCUUCCAUUCCAUUCCUAAUGGUCUGAGGCUGAUCAGGAUCUGUUUUCCCUCUCCCAUUUGAGUUUCAGAGCCAUGCAUUUAGGUAUGUAUGAAUAUUUAAUCAUCCAAAGCUUCUGUUUUUAAUCACAAAAUGUAAUUUUUUUUAAUUUAUUUCUUCUUUUUGUAUGGAUUUCUGAGGUGCCCUUUUUUGGUUUUGAUUUAUUGGUGGAUCGAAUUAGUUUUUCUAUCACUUAUACUCAAAAUCUGAGCUUUGGAUGAAUGGGGGUGCUGUGAAUUUAGAUAUGUUUGAUGAAAUCUCCUUAGCAAGUUGGAAACUUUCUCUGUGUUAUUGUUAGAGCUGUUUGUUAGCGAUUUAUUGGGUUGGCUAAUGGAAAGGUGCAUGCUUGUCAUUUAGGUGUCGGUGGAAAAUCUGGGGUGAAGUUGUCUAAAAGAGAGGGUGAUUUGGAAAUUUUUUAUUUCUGUGGUUCCCGGAAGAUGAAGUUUUAUACUUUAUAUUUGAAUUAGGGUCUUUUAAGUGGACGUUGUUGUCAUUCCAUGAUUAUUUUACUGGAAUUUUUGAACCGAAAAUUCUUUCUGCUUUAGUUGACUUUGACUUGUCUUGCAUGCAUCAUUUUCAUUGGGGAUAGGCCUAUGUUACUAGUUCCACAAAGGUAAGGUGGCAUGUACCCUUUGCUUGGUCAAUAAUAACCUCUUUGUAGUUUUGUACCUGACCCUUCUUCCUCCAUUCCAUCUUCCUAUGGUUUUUUGUUGCUGUUGGAUUCAUCGAAGUUUAUGUCUAAUGCCUCCUAUAGUGUGAUAUUCAAAUAGACAUAUGUACAAGAAUCAUUAGUCAUGAUAUGUUUUUGCGUGAAGAGAAGCUUGUGUUACUACAUCUGGAAUAUUUAUCAACAUUUUAGUCUACCAUGCACUUGAGUCCUGUUUAAUUGAUUUAAAUAAAUGAAUAUAUAGGACUAAAUAGGGGGACUAUCUUAUACAUUUAAGUCAUUUCCCAGUGCUUUGUUUAGAAUUCUUUUCUGGUUUGUGUAAUAUUAGUUUAUUGUAUGUUUUUUCUUGAGCAGGUCAGACAGAUACUACUUCUGUGAAAUGUCUGAUCAACAGCAUUUCUCGAUUCAUUCAUCUGGUUUCUUGUCAAACAAUGAAACCUAUGCCCUUUCAGAACAUCUGUAAUAAUAUGGUUGGGGUGUUAAAGCGCUUGAAACCGGUGCUUGAUGACAUUAUGGAUUACCAAAUCCCUUCAAAUGUAAAUCUAUGUAAAGAGUGUGAGGAAUUGGAUAUGCAGGUUAAUGAAGCUAGGGAUUUCAUUGAAAAAUGGAGUCCAAAGAUGAGCAAGAUUCACAGUGUAAGUAAUCCCAUGUAUUCUUAUAGUCAAACUAAUACCAUUAUCCAACAACUGUAUUUCCUGCUUGUUUAAGAUCAUUGGCCACUUUGUUGCUAUUUGAAAGUUGAAAAAGACAAUGAACUUCCAAUAUAGGCAAUACCUCUGCCAUUUGUCUUAGUUGGGUGAAGGUUAAUUGCAAUGCUUAACUGUUAUGUUGGGAUUAUUCUAUUUUCAGGUUCUACAAGGUGGUACUUUGUUGAUCAAGUUACAGAGCACCUCUCUAGAUAUCUGUCACAUGAUAGUUAAAUCCUUACAGUCACCUCCAUCUGCAUCAGUUUUGGCUAAUCUUCAGGUAUGUGCAAAGUUGGAGGUUACCUCUCUAUCUCUUUUUCCUGAUCAUUAUUCUGCUACACCUCCAAAAAAUAUAAUUAAGAAAAAAAUUGAAAUCAUGUAUUUAGGAGGAAAAGUCAUUGUCAAUUUUCAGGUGUCUUGUUGAUCUAUUUAAGCAUGAGACUAAUUUCUGGCAACUUUUCAGCACUAUAUCCAGGAACUUCAGUGUUUCAAGAAGGAAAUGGCUAUGGUCUUCAUAGAAGAAGCACUAAGAAACCAAAGAGAUAAUGUUGAACUUUGCACGGAGCAUCUCAAGGAAAUUAUUGAGUUACUUAAAUUGACAUCAAAUCAGGAGCUCUUAAGAGAAAGUAUUGCUGUGGAAAAGGAAAGGUUGAAUGCUGAAGUCAAUAAAAUGAAGGGGGACUUGGAAGAACUUGAUGAUAUUGUGAUUCUUGUCUGUAAUUUGCGUGAUUAUGUGAUGAAAACUGAGUGUCCUGUAGUCAAGAGUGGUCUGUUAAUCCCUCUAUACUUCCGCUGUCCUUUAUCAUUGGAACUCAUGUUGGAUCCUGUCAUUGUGGCUUCAGGUCAAACAUAUGAGAGGCAAUCCAUCCAAAAGUGGCUUGAUCAUGGGCUGACUGUUUGUCCCAAAACUCGUCAGAGACUUACUCCUACAAAUCUCAUACCUAAUUAUACUGUCAAAGCUAUGAUAGCAACUUGGUGUGAGGAAAAUAAUGUCAAACUUUCUGGUAACUCUGAGCAAAAUAAUUCUGCCUGUAUCACAUCCCCCUCGGACCAUUUAUUGCCUCAAGAUUUAACUCAUGAUUGUUGUGUUGAGUCUUUACCUAGUAGCAAUUCCAUUUCAAGAUCAGCUCUGCAAACUGAAAAUGCAUUUGAAAAGCAAAAGGGUGAUAACUCUUUCAGAUUAUGCGAAGAAUACAAUGGAUGCCAGAGUGGAGCAAUUGAAAAGUGUGAGCAACAGUCCCCAUAUACUCACAGCAGAAGUGAAUCAUUUUCAAGUUCAAUUUCUAGUACUGAUUGUGCGCAUGCAGUUUCAAAAGAGGUGUCAGGGAUAUCCAAUAAGCUUCAAAAUGUGAAGGUACUGUCUGGAGAAAUCACAAAGGUGUGUCCUCCUUCUCCUGGUAACAAACAAUCAGGGAUCUCUCCGUGGUUAUCUGGAACGCAAUUUCAAAGCCCUGGAUCAAAUGUGGGAGUGUUGGAGAAUGGAAAUAAUAAUAAUAGUCAUUCAAGAUUUGAUUCCCAUCCUGUUUUCAACUCCGGGUCGGAUGAAUUAACCACCUCAUCUCAUGUUAUUAGAUUGAUUGAAGACCUUCACAGCCAAUCAAUUGAAACGCAAACUGCUGCUGCAGAAGAAUUGAGGCUCCUUACAAAGCAUAACAAGGAAAACCGUAUCAUUGUUGGGCAGUAUGGGGCUGUUGCACCUUUGCUUUCACUGUUAUAUUCAGACUUGCAGGUAACACAAGAGCAUGCUGUUACAGCUCUGCUGAAUUUAUCAAUUAAUGAAGACAACAAGGCCUUGAUCAUGGAAGCAGGAGCCAUAGAACCACUUAUCCAUGUUUUAAGUACAGGAAAUGAUAGUGCCAAGGAGAAUUCUGCAGCAACUAUAUUCAGCCUCUCAAUAAUUGAGAACAAUAAAGCAAGAAAUUGGCCGUUCUGGAGCAGUUUAAAGCUUUGGUGGAUCUUCUUGCCUCAGGAACUCUUAGAGGAAAGAAGGAUGCUGCUACUGCUCUAUUUAACCUGUCAAUAUUUCAUGAGAAUAAAGCUCGUAUAGUUCAAGCUGGAGCGGUGAAGUUUCUGGUUUGGUUAAUGGACCAUGCUGAAGGAAUGGUUGACAAGGCUGUUGCUCUUCUGUCAAACCUGUCAACAAUUCCAGAGGGCCGAUUAGAAAUUGCAAGGGAAAGGGGCAUCCCCUUACUAGUUGAAAUUGUUGAGUAUGGUUCACAGAGGGGAAAAGAAAAUGCAGCCUCCAUUCUCUUGCAAUUAUGCCUUCAUAGUUCUAAGUUCUGUACUCUGGUUUUGCAAGAAGGAGCUGUCCCUCCCCUGGUGGCAUUAUCGAUAUCCGGUACACCAAGAGCAAAGGAAAAGGUGUGGAGCUUAUCCUCCUUAUUGGUGGUUAACAUUUUUAUUGUCUGUGAAUAUCUAUCAGUCAGUUUGCUGCAUUUUCCUGAAGUCUUGUCCUUAUCAUAAUUAUGCACUCAUUUUGUUGAAACUGAGGGCUGCAAUCUAGUUUUGUAACAUUUCCUCACGAGUUUAAUUUUCAUGUGCAUUAUUAGUGUAAAUAUGGUCAACCUAUCAGAUGCUAUCUUAGGUAUGACUGUUAAGGUAGUUAUAUUAUAUAAGUCAACAAACUUAUUAUACAUGACGAUAUAUGAUUGGAUGACUGUGUAUCAAUGCAUUUUAAUUAAAUUCUUUUCUCAAUAGUGCAUUUCUCCAUCCUAAUCCCCUUUCCCCCAAAAUAAUAUUUUCCCCUCUAUCUGAACAUGGAAAUUUUCACUAGUAGCAACUUACUAUAGGUAUUAUGAGAAACUUUGGUGGUCCUGUCAUGACAUACAAUGUCUCUUGUAAUGCGAGCAUAAUCUUCUGAAAGGUGUAUGAAAAAACGCUGACACGUACAUGUCCAUGCAGGCACAACAGCUUCUCAGCCAUUUUCGUAAUCAACGGGAAGCAGCUACUACUGGGAAAGGGAAAUCAUGAAAAUAGCCAAUUUUGGUUAUUCCAUUGCCCCUUUGUCUUGCCUAAGUAACAAACAUGUGAUAGCUGCUGUCUAGUAGGCUUAUAGGACUUUCAUUGCAUUCUUUUGAUAUUUUUACUCGUAUUAUUUGCGAAGCUGUCUUGUUAUCUUUAUUUCAGUGCCUUGACAUUGCUUAUUCUCAAGUUCAAAAAUGGGAUUGGAACACCAUUUCUUCCCCUAUUGUCAGGGGUAUUAGUCUUUUCCAACUUUUUGUUUUGUAUGGACUUCUAAUUUUCUUUCUUACUUUGGUGGAGAUAGGCUACUUUCUGAAGCUUUAGCUUGGCAACAUGUAAACCACAAUGUUAUUCAGCUAUGUGGUCCCAAGUCAGUGUUGUAUAUAUUUGUACAUAUACUAUAGAUUUUUGUGAUCUACUAUAAAUCAUUGUACCUUACACUGCUCUUCGAGCUUUGUGAUCUACGGUUUCAUUUUGACCUUUUGCAUUAUCUUGCCAUAGUUCAUAGGCUAUGUUGCAAAAUGUCGUGGAAUUGUACCUCUUUCUCUUUCAUCUAUAUUGCAGAUGUGAUAGAACGGACAAAAUCACCGACACCGUGCAACUGGAGCAAUUGGGUUUGGACUGUUCAUGGGUUAGUUUGGUUCAGGUUUCAAAAUUCAGUCAAUUUGAAUCAAAUCUGAAUCAAACCAAUUCAACCAAUUUGAUCUUAAUCAUUUUUUCUUUUUCUUUUAAUUGACAAAAUGUUAGUUGUUAGUUUGUUUUUAUUAGGGAGGGAUUCGAACCUAUCAUGUCUUUUUUUUUAAUAUUUACUUAAUAUGUGAUAAAAAUAAUCAUUUCAUAACUUUUUUUAGCUAUGUGUAUAGAGUAACACAAAUGGGAAGAGGAAGAGGAAUUUUUUCUUAACUGGUACUCUACUUCGAGGGGAUUAGUCUCAUUGUUUCUGACAUCUGGUUGUGGGAUAUCUUGCCAUCAAAAGUAGAAGAUUAUAAGAACAAACUGUAAAGAAAAUAAGAGAGAAGACAAAAGUAGAAAAAGAAAAGAAAAAAGUAGGCACUAAGAUAAAAAAAUGUAUUAAUAUGAAAGUUAAAAAACUGUUGAUCUGAUUAUCGUGUUAGGUUUAUGUUGAGAAAAGAUAAAUCCGAACAGCGAACAAAUUGUAAUGUAUUUGGGUUGAUUUGAUUUUGAAGUAAAAGAACUCAAUUAACAAAAUUAAUUAGUUUGAUUUAAAUUAUUGAAUUCAUUGAAUCAAUGAUCCAAUUAAUAUCCCUAUUCGACUUUUCGAAAUCACCGACACGGUGCAACUGGGUCUGGAGCUCCAACAUUAUCCAUACCCAUUAGAACUUGUAAAAUAUCCCGUAAUAAUAAUGUACUAGUUCUCACUACGGGUAUACCUAUUGGGCCUAGUUGUAAUCACCAGAGCAAACUAUUGCGCUUAUCAACCUUUUUCCAUUCUGGAGGUUUUACGACCAUGAUUUUGAGUGUUGCUAGGUGCAUCCAACACUAAUCACAAAAAGAUAGAAAUACCCCUUACGGAUCAACUUGAUCCGUAAGUUAAUUAUUAAGACUUACGGAUCAAGUUGAUCCGUAAGUUGAUUUUUAAGAUUUAUGGAUCAACUUGAUCUGUAAGUCUUUUACGAUCACUGAUCGUACGUCUUAAAAUCAUUAACGAUCAACUAAUCUAUAGAAGAAAUAGCAUGACAGUUUACCAUUUCAAAAAAUAAUGGGUGCACCUAGCACACUCAUGAUUUUCAUCCAAUAAAACGUUGACAUAUAUCAGUAUGGGCUAUGCUUCAUAUUGUGGCCCACUAUUGCAUGGUUCACGUAACAUAAUACGUAAAUAUUAUUGACCGAGUCAAAGCGACAUGCAGAUACAGCCAAGAGCAGAAAUACAACUAUACAAGUAAAUGUCGACACCAAAAAAAGAAGAAAAUAAUGUGUUGUGAUCCUUCUUCCUUAACUAGGGGGAAACUGUAGAACAAAUAAAAUUAGGCUUGAAAUUGU